UAAAACAAAAGUAAAAAAGCUGGUUGGCUCCUUUAGUAUUCCUACUGCUUUAUAUAUAUGUGUGUGUGUGUGUGUGUGUGUGUGUGUGUGUGUGUGUGUGUAUAGAUAUAGGUUGAUACAUAAGUUGCUUUUUCUUCGGACUCGGCUAUGGCCUCUCAUGGUAGCAUCAAAGUUAGCACUACCACCUCCCCAAAAGGUGGCAAGAGUACUACUGAUCCUCACGGCGGCGGUGCCGGUUCACCGAAAGGGCAGUGCCUGUGUUCGCCGACGACUCACCAAGGGUCGUUCCGGUGCAGAUUUCAUCGGACGGCUGCAGGAGGGUCAUCGGCGGCUUGGAUCAUGAAGCGAUCAAACUCCAUGCCUGCCGAUAAAUCAGCAGCGGUGGCUUCUUUUUCUCCCAAGUCAGUUGAGACUUGACCGCGCCUAUUCCAUGUAAGCUAAAGAUUAAUUAAUGGCAGCUAGCUGCUUCUUCAUAUAUAUCUUUCAAAGCUCUGUAAAAAAAAACAAUAUGUAAUAGCUUUGAUACUUGACUUUAUAUGUUUCUGCUUGGGAUUUUCAAUGCUUGAAACUGUUAAAACUCGUUCUUGAUAAUAGCCUAUAGGCAGCCCGCGGCUGGUAUGUAAAAUUAAUUCCUCCCUCUGUUGUUCGUUUGGCUCCUGUAUGUUAAUAAUUCUUGCUUUCAUUAUUAGUCUGUUCCCUUUUUUGUUCUCCGUUUAAUUAAGCUUGUAGAUUGAUGAAUCUGUUAUAUCAGUCUUUUUGACUCUGAAAAAUUAAUACCAAGAGACGAAUAUAGAAUUUUGUUUUUAUUUUUUUUUCUCCCCACUCAAAACAAGUUAGGGCACUAAUCUUUGACCUGAUCAAAUGGUAAUUAAAAAACCGAACGUAUAUAGUUCAUUCUUAUCCACAAAAAUUACACAUAUCGGUCGAGGACAAAAGCAAUAUUGAAGUUUGAUUAUAGUGUCUUCAUUUUUUUUUCAUUUUUUUUUUCUGGACGGUAAUGGAAUGGUUGGAUGAGUUAUGAAUGGCUCUCUCUCAUUUUAGGGUAAAGAACCCAUCAAAGAUUUUUUUUAUGUUAAAAUAAUAAAAUGAGUUGAUCAAGAUUGAAGAACGCUUGAUUUUUUGUUCCAAAGCUAUUCUGAGAUGGUGAUGGGCGCAUGUACGUGACAAUUCAUGAGAGUGUUUCCAUCCAGAAUCCAGAUAGCUACGCGCCUCUUAGGAAUUAAAAUUCAAUAAUUGAGAAUAUUAAUUCAUAAGUUGAUCAUACAAAUCAAAAGAAAAUGACAUCAAUGAAGUGUUUAAGCACCGUGGUGUGGAGUCGUAGUCCAUACCUCGUCCACAAAAAAGAUUUUGCUAUAACAUGACAGUACGCGUAUUAAUAUUGCUAAGCACGUGUAAUUUAAUUAACGUUUGAUUUUGUUUUUGCCAAUAAUAGGAGUCUUUUAAUCUUAGUUUAUCUAAAAGUUGUAUAAGGGUUACAUUUAUAAGCCCGUUUGACCAUUUGAGGUUCCUUAGCAAUAACAAUUUCUUGAAGCAGCGUUGUGAUGGGAUUUGUCUAAAGCGCUGAAACUGAUUUUGAGAGUUAAUUAAGGGAGUGAGUUCAAUUUUCUGCAAUUUCAGAAUUCGAGUUCUCCUUAAAUUAAUCUAUCGAAAAAAUCGUGAGUAAGUUCCUCAUGAAUUCUUUUAUAGUUCGGGCACUCUUAUUUUUUUCACAUUAUUAAAUCAUAAAGUUUAAAUAGAGUCGGUGCAGACAUGUUAUUAGACUGUAUAAUUUUAUAAUAUAUUGAGAAAUGAUUCUCUUAAGAGUGAUGAUACAACCAUAAUCUUUUGUACAUAUUUAUUUUAUACAAACUGAUAUGACAUUAAUUCAUUGGUUGAAUAAAAUUAUAAAAUAAUAUAAAUAAAUCAUGUGGGCUAAAAAAUAUUUAAUUCAAUCAAUGAAUUAACGUCAUAUCAAUUUGUACAAAAUAAGUUUGUACAAGAGUUUGUAACUACAUCAUUACUCUUCUAUUAAACCACACAAUUUAAUUUCGUGUCCACAUUAAAAAAAAAAAAUAGUGCCCGCACUUGAGAAUAAUUAGUGUCCUCCUAUAAAUGGAUGCGGUGAUUUAGGACGGCCGUAAUAAAAAUUAAUAAAUGAAAUCCAUUAAUUCUAAUAUAUUUAUGAUAAUUAAAUAUUAUUAGCAUUGUAACUCUAACUAAAAAAAAUUAUUUAAAAAUAAGAGAUUUUAAAAUGUAUCAAAGAUAAUACAAUUAAUGAGACACAUAUGAUACAUGCCAUUAAAUUUAAUACAAUUACAAUUUUCAUUAUAAUUUUUUAGAAUAAGUAUACAUAAUAGUAUUAGUUAUAUUAUUAUAUGACUAAUAUAAUGCCAAUAAAUAUAUUUUAGAAUUUCUCCAAUGUGAAAAAUAUAGUGAGCAACGGGUUAUUUUGCAGUUGACUUCUAAAGCGUGUCGCCAGAUAAGAUCUUGUCGUAAGCCACUCUGAUCAUGCCACGUCGCACUACAACCCCGCAAGACAUGCUUGCUAAACUAAAAUCACAAAAUUACAUCACAAGAAUUAAGGUGCCGUACGCAUUAAAAAGAUUAAUGAGAUAAAUUACCUCCUUCGGCCACAUCUAAAUCAUGCUACCACCAAGUCUCCUAACCCACCAAACAAAACAACGAUGGGUUCAGGUUCAACUCACGACCACGUGGCGUACGCGCCCCUUCCCACGGAAAACGUCAUCGUUCUACCCGUCUACUACCAACCCGAUCUCCGCCGCUGGCGGCGCCGCCGAAAUCUCAGCAGAUGUCUAUGCACAGCCGCCGCCAUCGCGAGUCUCCUCGCUGUUCUGGUAUUCAUAUUCUACCCCUCCGACCCGUACCUCCAACUCGCCCGUAUCCACCUCAAUCACAUCCGAGUCAACUCGUCUCCUCAACCCACGCUGGACCUUUCCUUCUCUCUCGUCGUCAAGGUCCACAACAGAGACUUCUUCUCGUUGAACUACGAUUCGCUCGAUGUUUCGAUCGGUUACAGAGGGAGAGAGCUAGGGUCGGUGAGGUCCCACGGAGGCCGAGUGAGAGCCAGAGGCAGCUCGUAUGUUAAUGCCUCGCUGAAACUCAAUGGCCUUGAGGUUAUUCAUGACGUUAUUUACUUGAUUGAGGAUUUGAUCAAGGGGGUCAUCCCCUUUGAUACCGUUACUAUGGUCAAAGGCGAGCUCGGAGUUUUGUUCUUUGAAAUUCCUUUGAAGGUAUUUUCUUUUUUAUAAACAUUCGUUCGCGGUGUUGAAUUAAUCGCUUGUAUUUUGAUUAGCUGUAUAUAUAUUUAUAUCCAAGUUGCCUUGAUUUCUUAAUUGUGAAUUGUGAGUUCAAUUAUUUGAUUGAUUUAGAAACAAACAAUUCGGAGAAUUACUACGCAUAUUUAUGAUUUUUGAACUGUUUCAGGCGAAAGUAUCCUGUGAAGUGUAUGUAAAUACAAGCAACCAAACUAUUGUCCGGCAAGAUUGUUACCCUGAGGUGAGAAAAGUGCAUUUCUCUUAUGUAGCUGAACAGGAUUUUGAUUUAAAUAGAAAUUUGCUGUGCAACAAAAUUCCAUUUUAAGUGCCGUAGAUAAUGCUGUUCUUGAUUAUAAUGUUGGGAGAAUGUCUGGUUGUAUACCUAGGAGUGUUACAUGCUAAUCAUCCCCAAGUUACACAUGUAACUAUGAAUGCUUUGCUUGUUUUAGUUUUAUCUGGUGUGGAUCAAUCAUUUGUUGUCUGGGCAUCCACUAUCUGUUAAACUGACUAACAUAGUGAUUUAGAACACAUUGUCCAAUGAAUCAGAUGAAGAAAUGGGAGAAAUCGAGGCAUGAAAAAGGAGAGACAAUUCAGAAGAACGUGGGAAGGAGUAUAAUAAACUACAUUCCAAUAAUCAUUGAUAGCUUCAAGACUACUCAAAAAUGAGAAAGAAAUCUCUAUUUAUAGUGGCCAAACCCUAGAUAGACUGGGAAAUUGAUCUGUGCUUAAGAAAAGAAAUAUACUUGUAGAAAGUAAUAUAACACUCACUCAAAUAAGAAAAUUAUUAUAGGUAGGCUAAAUAUUACCAAAACAUUUAACUGAUCUUGACUUAAAUAAGCAAGAAUCUAUUAAUCUUCCUAAGAUCCUAAAUAGAGAUUUCUUGGUCUGUAUCACUUGAACAGUUGACCUAAAUUAAUUUGUGCUGUGCUUUGGUUAAGUUAGUUCAAUUUACAUUGUUGUCUCUUGUUGAUCUUGCCUGCAUAACAAGUAACUGCCCCGAAGCAUCAAUUUUAUAAAGCUGACUCAUGACCUGAAAUUUGAUUUUGCAGUGAUGUGUUGGAUGCCACCAAUUUACUAUUAUUGUUUAGUCGAUGAAUUGGCAAGAAAUCCUGUUUGAUGCGAGACAUACACCAUUGUUUCCUUGUGGUCCCAUGGGUAUGUUUCACUUGUGCAGGAAUAGGAGUUACAUGGAGAGGUUGGCGUGUGUUAAUUACAUGGUUUAAACUUGUAUUUUUGAAAAGGAUUUAUCAGUUUCAGUAACCACACCAGUGCAUUUGUAUCAUGCCCUUAAUAUAUAAGAAAUAUUAAAUUUAAAUUUAGUUGGAACUUUCUUGUGUAUAUUUUAUCUGAGACAGAAUGAUGGAAACUGUGCACUGAAUAUGCUAUUUUAAACUAGCUCUUUUCACCUUGUAACUUAAUAAUAUUUUGAGGGUUCAAGUCACAUAUCGAGUUGCCUUUUAUUGCAUGAGUAGGGAUAGCAAUUUGACAUAGGUUUGUGUGGAGUUUGGGUAGCCACUUUGAGGUGAAAAGUCUUGGCUGCUUUUGGUGUACUGCUUUUUUUUCAUUCAUUCUUUGCCACAUGUGUGUUUCAAUCAAUCAUAAUAAUAUGUAAACACACGAAGCAAGCAAUGGAUAAAUGAAGUGCAAUGCUCCAGGUGCACUAAAUGCCUUCUCACUUCGAGGACAUGGCCUGCCUUUCUAAAUAAUCUCACAGUAGGUUCUUUUCUUGUUGACUUGUAAAAACUUGACACAUCUCCGAUGUAAGCCACUCUGAUCUUGCCAUGUCAUGAAAUAAACCCACAACAAAACAUGUUUACUAACCUCAAAUCACAAAAUUACAUGACAAAUUAGGGUGUCGUGCACAGAUGAAGAUAAUAAGAUAAUAAAGUGCGUUUAGUAUUAUUUUUCAAAGGUAGCGCUAUUUGCACUUAAAAAAUUGUAUCGAACACCUAUUUUUUAACUCUAAAAAUUAUAUUGAGCAUUUUUUUAAUUAAUAUUUUUAAGAUUAAAAAAAUAAUAGAGUAAUUUAUUAUUAACUACGAUCUAAUAAUAACAUUAAAUCAAACAUCAUUCCUCUUUCAUUUCUUCAUGUCUAUUCUCCCUCUUAAACAUCAUUAAUCAUCAAACAGAACAAAUUUUCUAUUUGACGGAAUAGAUGAAAAUUUUAAAUGUCAAAUUGUGUAUUUCUGUUUUACAUGCAGUUUAAUAAAUAGCAUACAAAGAACCCAAUGAAAAGCACUGCUGUCCAUUCUAGUGCCUCAUUUUUAUUUAUAAAGUCGGCUGAAUGCAAAUGAAAGUUCAAAAUUAGCAAAGAUACAAUUAGUACUUGAAAGGCUAUUCUUCACUUUUGGGUUUGCAAGAUUCAUAUGGAAUUGUAUUGAUUGGAGGUAAUGGGUUUUAAAUUUUCUAUCUCUGCAUUAAGUAAUUAAGUUAGAUUUUGAUUAGUUAUCAGUUAUGUUUUAAAUUAUUGACGGAGUAGAGUUUUACAGUAGAAAGAAAAUGGCUAAAAGGUUAAAUGAAGGGUAUUUUACCCAUUUUAAUAUGUUGUUUGAGUAAUUUUAAAUUUAAUAAAUGAAUACUAAAAAUAAAGAGUUGUUUAGAGUGCAAAUAAUCUUACCUUUUUUCACAUGGUGUUUUUUUUUUCUUUUAUUUGUUUUAUAAUAUUUGAAUUAUUAGUUUCAGUAAAAUAGAAAAACGAGUUUGGCAACUUCUUAUUCGUAUGAUAUUUCUGAAAAUGAAGAAAAAUAAAAUAGUAAAAAUACGUUCGUAGUAUGUUGGAACAUAUUAUUAUGAAAAUAAUACAUAUGAAUUACGAGUAAUGCUUUUUGCACCCCUUUAUUUUCCUUAUAAAACCUCAUUUUUUAAACUGUAGUUUUAUUGCUAAAAGAAAUUACUGAAAAAGACAAAUACGAAUUUAGUUAAACUAAAAUGUCUUUACAAAAGCCCUAACUAUUUUUAAAUCUUAAUAUGUGAGAGAAAUAAUUUUUUUAUAAAACUAAUAAAAAAUUAUUUUGAAGCAAUGAUUUAAUUAUGAAAAAGUAUAUUUCAUAAUUUAAUUAAUUUAUUUUAGAUGAGAAUAAAAUGUAAUUAAAACUCUAUGGCAAUUUUUUUGUCUUUUUAAUAAUUUCAUAAAAGAAAAAGGUAUAAAUAUAAAAUAUGGGGUUUCAUCAGUGCUAUAGAAGGGAGUUAGAAACUUCACUCAAUGAUUAUAAGGGGGUAAAUUUGAUUUAGGAUGCAUUUGAGAUUGAUGUUAGAUAACUGUAAUUUAAAAAUUACAGCAUUAAAAUGUUUGGUAAAUAUUAACUAUUGUAACUUGAAAUCUAUAUUAAUAUAGUUUUUUACUUGUAUCAUGAAAAAUUUAUUAUAUUUUUAAUAUUUUUGUUAAAAUUAUUAUUGAAAAUUUAUAGUUACUAUAAAUUAUUAAUUUUUAUUUCAUAGUUAUAACUUUUUUUACAACAACUAUAGCUUAAAAAGUGCCACACUUCCGGCCAAUACUUUAAUGUUUUGUUUACUUUUUGGAGUGGGAGUGAGGAUUAUAAAUUUCUCACACUCCAGUGUUUACUUAUAAAUUUUAAAAAAAGUAAGAAUCUCACUCUGUGGGUCCCAUCUAAUUUUAGAGUAAGGACUAAGGAGUGGGAAUCCCAUUCCUAGGGGGGGAGUGGGAGUGGAAAUCCACUCUUCCCUUCUCUUAUUACUANNNNNNNNNNNNNNNNNNNNNNNNNNNNNNNNNNNNNNNNNNNNNNNNNNNNNNNNNNNNNNNNNNNNNNNNNNNNNNNNNNNNNNNNNNNNNNNNNNNNNNNNNNNNNNNNNNNNNNNNNNNNNNNNNNNNNNNNNNNNNNNNNNNNNNNNNNNNNNNNNNNNNNNNNNNNNNNNNNNNNNNNNNNNNNNNNNNNNNNNNNNNNNNNNNNNNNNNNNNNNNNNNNNNNNNNAUGUACGGUACAGCAGUUUUAUUUAAUAUUAGUAAUUAAUAAUAAUAAAUAAUUUAUUCUAAGAAAAUAUUAAUUUUGUAUUAUAUUAUUAAUAAUGUUUCAUUUGUGUUGUUCUUAUUAAUAAUUUUUUAUUUACAUAAUUAAAAUUAAGAGUAGUAAGAAAUUAUAAUUUACAUAAUUAAUAAUAUUAUAAAUUAUUAUUAAUUUAUAAAUAUAAUAAAAUAAAUAUUUUAUUUUUUAAAUAUAUAUUUUAUUAAUUUUAUAAUUAAAAACUAUAAUUCUUUAAAUAAAGAUAAAACUAUAAUUUAAAACCAUUUACUCUCAAUUCAAAACUAUAUAAACACAUAAAUUAAAUUAUUAUUUUAAUUUUUCAAUAUAAAUAAAUAAUCUAAUCCCACUUCAUACUCAAGAUUCCCGUUACAAUUCAAAAUGUAAUCGCCGCUUAAUUGCAGUGCAGUUUGCAAAUAAAAAUAAUAUUAGUUUAAUUUUCAAUUUCAAAUAUGUGGGACCCAGUAUGUAAUCUUAGCAGAUGUCUAUCCUCAAUCGCCUCCAUCGUUCUCUUCUCUCUUCCGAUGUUCUUAAUAUUCCCUUCCGACUCGUACCCUCCGACUCGUCCGAAUCCACCUCAAUUACAUCCGAGUCAAAUCGUUUACUAAACUCACGCUGGACCUCUCUUCCUCUCUAACGAUCAAGGUCCACAACAUAGACUUCGUCUCGUUGACCUACGAUUUGCUCGACGUUUCGAUGGGUUACAGAGAGAAGAGCUAGGGUUGGUUAGGUCCCCCGGAAGUAGAGUGAGAGCCAGAGGCAGCUCGUGUGUUGAUGCCACGCUGGAACUUGAUGGCCUUGAGGUUAUUCACGAUGUUCUUACUUGAUUGAGGAUUUGACUGAGGGAGUCAUUCCCUUUGAUACUGUUACUAUGGUCAAUGGCGAACUCCGACUUCUGUUCCUUGAAAUUCCUCUGAUUUUUUUUCGCAUUAUGUGUGAAUUGUGAUUUCAAUUAUAAUUGAUUUAGAAGCAAACAAUUCGGAGAUAAUUAGGAAUAUUUAUGUUUUUUUAACUGCUUCAGUCAAAAUUAUCCUUUGAAGUGUAUGUAAAUACAAGCAACCAAACGAUUGUCUGUCAAAAUUGUUACCCUUAUGUGAUAAAACAUUCUUCUUUUAUAUAGCUGAAUAGUAUUUUUAUUUAAAUAGCGAUGCAACUGCUUUCAAGUUGAGAGAGUUCUUGGACAUCUUCAUUGCACCAAAAUCAUCUUGAUCAUUGUUCCUCUGUUUAAAUUUUGAUGUGCCACAACAACAAUCCAUUUUUAAUGUGCUUCUUGAUUAUAAUGGUGGAAGAUGUCUGGUUGUGUACCUAGGAGUGUUACUAAUCAUUCCUGGCAUAUAACUAUGGAUUGUUUUGCUUGUUUUGGCUUAUCUGGUGUGUCGUCUGGUGCAUGCGCUAUCUGUUAACAUAGUGAUUUAGGAGGCAUUGUCCAAUGAACAACAGGAAGAAAUGGGAGAAAUCCAGAUAUGAAAUAGGAGAGAUAAAAUUCUGAAGAAAGUGAGAGGGAAUGUCAUAAACUACAUUCCAAUAAUCAUUGGUAGCAUCAAGAUUACUCAAAAAUGAAAAGAAAGCUCUAUUUAUAGUAGCCAUCCCCUAGAUAAAAUGGGAAAUUUAAAUCUGCUUAGGAAAAGAAAUAUACUCGUAGUAAGCAUAUAGCACUUUCCCAAACAAGAAAAUCAUUAUAGGUGGGCUAAAUAUUACUUAAACAUUUAACCAAUCUCAACUUAAAUAAGCAAUAAUCUUAAUUCAUAAGAUCCUAAAUAGAGAUUUCUUGUUCUGUAUCACAUGGACAGCUGACCUAACUUAAUUUGUGUAUGCUUUGGUUAAAGUAGUUCAAUGUACUUUUUGGUCUCUCAUUGGUCUUGUCUGCAUGACAAAUAACUGCCCUGAAGCGUCAAUUAUUUACAGCUGACCCAUUUCCUGGGAUUUGAUUUUUCAGUGAUUCAUUGAAUGCCACCAAUGUCGAUGAUUGGCUGCAGGAAUUCGUGUUUGAUUGGAGACAUGCAACAUUGUUUCUUUGUGGUCCCUUGGGUGAAUUAACUUGUUCAGGAGUAGGAGUUACAUAAAGAGGUUGGUGUGUGCUAUCUACAUGGUUUAAACUUGUAAUUUUUAAAAGGAUUUACAUUUGUUUUGAGUACCACACCAGUAUAGUUAAGAACUUUCUUGUAUAUAUUUAUCUGAGAGAGAAUGAUUGAAACUGUGCAAAGAUUGCGCUAAUUUUAAUUGUGCUAGAGGAAUGGGCUCUUUUAUCCUUGUAGCUUCAGAAUAUUUAAAGAUAGAACUGUUAUCUUUUGCAACUUCAGUGACAUGCCUUGAGUUAAUCUUGCAAUAGAUUUGGUGCUCUAGUAGCCCAGGACUCUACAGAGUUGCCUUUGAUUACACAAGCAAGGAGGCUUGUGGAGUUCUUGGUCCUAGAGUCCUUUUGCAUAAAAAGUGAUUAUUUGUGGGAGUAGAUUUAUGAGCCAAUUCUCAGGAAAUCUCUGGGUUAGACUACAAAGUAUAUGUAUUCAGACUCCUGACAGAUUAUAUAGAGGAUCUGGCUAUGUUGCAACAGUUGUCCUGUACCCCAAUUUUUGUCUUUUAUAGUUUAACUACUGUCAAAUUUACUUGAGCACCCUGCACUCUUUUCAUUUACAAUUUGUUUGUCUUAAAAGGACAAAAUUACCCUUCCUGCAAAUAUUUCUGAACAAAAGAAAUAGAUAAGGUGCAGAGUUUAGGUAUUUUUGGUGUUACGAAAAGCCGUGGCAACAAUGAACUUUGCCUUCUUCUCCUCCUCUUCUCAUUUGAAAUUGUUUAUAGCCUUGAUACCAAAUUUACAAGCGUACGGCUUGCUGCUCUGGGCAGUGGGCAGACAUCAUGCGUAUGAACCUUAGCAUUGUGAUCUCUUGGUGAAAUAUAUAAACUUUGAUGCUUAUCAUAGCAUAUCUAGGACUAGCUCGAGCUUUAAUCCUGUGAUUAAUUAAGAAGUAUGCUCAUGAUAUAUGGACCCAUGCUUAUCCUCCGAUUAAGAAGUAUACUCAGCAAAAAAGAAAACUAUUGUACAUUUUUCCUUUGAUGAUUUGGGGAAGGUGUGUUUCCAAGGAAGAGUGUAAAAUUAGCAAAUGAUAUUGGAAUGGAUAAUUCAAGAAUAGAAAAUGGGGAAACUCUGAAGUAGAUUUUAUUUUCUUCUCUUUAGCAUAUUUUACUGAUUUUAAUUUUUUGUUUUUUUUCCAUGGAUGGCAUAACCUUGCAUUUCAUUUUAAUGACUGUGAUUUGCUUAAAAAAAAAAUCUGCUAAUAAUAAAUAAGAAAGAAAUAAAAAGUGUAAAUCUUUUUUUCAUGUGCUAUUUUUGUUAUACUCUAGCACCAGCAUUGACUCUGAAUACACUUGCCUUUUCAUGGACAGCCAGUGCCAUUACGAAUUUCAUAAUCAACUUUUUUUUUUGGUCUAAUUUGUAUUAUAUAGACUGUUUGCAUAAUGAGUUAUGAGUGCGUGGCUUAAAUCAUGUGAUUGAUGGAACUUUUUUUGUCACUCAUGCACUUUCUUGUGUGCUCAGCAUCUAAGGUAGGGAUGGCAAUGGGGAGAGGAGGGGAGGGGACUAAUCUCUCCGUAUCUAUCUCCGAUAUUUUGCGUAUGUUCCCGUCCCCUUCCCGUCCCCGUUAAAAUUAUUUAAGAGAAUCCUCAUCCCCUUCCCGAAUAAUAACAGGGGAUCCCUGAAGGUCCCCGAUCCCCGAAUAACUAAUACAUUUUUUUAUUUUUGAUUUUGAGUUAAUCAUAUUAAAAUAAAAAAUUCAAAUAAAAGUAAAGUUCGAAAUAUAUCUUACAUUAAUAUCCAUUACAAAAGUCACAUACAUUAAAUUAGUAAGUAACGCAGCAUGCAAGGAAUACAAACUAUCAUGAACAAAUUAAUAGCCUAAUACAAAAUUGUUACAAAUAAAAUCAAAUUUAGAUUCAAAAUUAACUUUUCAAUGGUGGUGUGGGCACUUUAUAAAUUUGGAUUAUUCACUUUACAGCACAAUAGUUAAGUCGUAGCAAAUCAAUAGCAAAUAUUAGAUUAGAUUAGAUAUUAAAAUUGUGAUUUGUUGUGGGCAACUAUAACAUCUAAAAAUAAAUAAAAAAUAGACUUAAGUUUAAAAUAUUUCAUGAAUAUUAAAAUUAAAACAAAAGUUUUAACCUAAUAGAAUCUAUCCGGUCUUUUUAAUGUCCUAAAUAAAAAUUUAGGACUUUAAUUAGUUAAUUAGGCCUAAAAGUUUAAUAAUAUAAAUAUUUUGAUAUUUUUUUAUUUUUACCAAUACUUAUAAUUUUAUAAUUCAAACUUUAUUAUUUUUUUACUAGUAAUUUUAAAAAAUAAAAAUUAAAAUGGGGAAAUGGGUAGGGGAUGGGGAUUCCACCUCAUCCCCGUCCCUUCCUCGAAUAAGAAAUUGGGUAAAAAAAUUUCUCCAUCCCUUCCCCGAAUAAGAAAUUAGGUAUAAAAUUAUCCUCAUACCCUCUCCGAAUGAAAAAAAUCCCCGAGAGUACCCGUGCCCGUGGGGAUUUUUGUCAUCCCUAAUCUAAGGUACAUCCCUUGCGCCUUGACUAUUUCUGCUCCUUUGGUCAGGUUAUUGCUUUAGCUAACGGGAAAGAAGAAAACGAGUGAUGAAUCAGGCCAGUGAGCUGAUGAAUCUGGCCAGAGAGUGACAAAUCUGUCCGGUGAGGCGGUGACUGAUGCACGAGAGAGAGGGAGUGCCGAUGACGCGAUGAAAGCAGGGGAGGGAGAUGUGAUGGAAGCUUCUGGUUUAUGCGAGAGAGAGAGUGUGUUUAGGUUUUUAGGGAAUUUUUUGUUUUUUUUUAAUUUUUCGCUAUUUUUAUUUUUAUAUGAAGUAAGGGUAUUUUUUAAAUAAUAAAAAAUUUAUGGGAGUAGAAUGGGAAAUCCCAGAGAGUCUGAUUCCCAAGUGAGUUCUCAUUCUUGAUUCCCGAAUUAUUGUGGGGUUCACAAAAAUGAUUCCCAUUCCCCUCCUUAUUUUACUAAGUAAAUGCAGGAAUCAUUCCAAUUUCAAAUUUCCAUUCCUGAAUUCGGCAAGUAAACGCAGCUUAAUACUUAUAAAAAUAAUAAAUAAAAAGAGAGUAAUGUGUUAACCAGAAUCUUUAGUAGUGUAUGUAAGUAGAAAAUAUCACAAUAUUUCUUAAUAUUUUAUAAACAAAAGGAGUUUAAAGUGAUUGGUGAAAUUUAACAUUAGUUAAAUCAUAAAGUACAAAGAUGGGAACGUUACCAGUUGUUGCAACGUAGAUGAACCCAUAUAUACAUAUAAAUCGUAAUAAAUUCAAAAUUAAAAAAGGACAAAUGAAAAGAAAAAAGAAGCCGGAGAGAUGUCCAUUGAAUAGCAAGCCUAUCCUGAAGGAUGGAUUUGUGCUUUGAAUAGUUGCGUGCCUGGUCAACAUCUUAGAAAAGUCUCGUCUGAUUGAGGCUUUCAUAAUUGGCCAAAUGGACCGAGAACUCCGGUGCCGGUGGUCAUAUUGAUGCAAAUGUGCAAUUACAAAUUGUGAGGCCGCUGAAUGAGCCCAUUCGAAGAGAGAAAAAUGAAGAGAUUGAUGGAUGCCUGCCGAGAGUGUCACUUUUCAAGCCUGUGGGCCAUUUCCAAUAUUAUUGUUGAAGCUUCUACCCUCCAGCGCAGAAGAAUUCUCUGAUCACUCACAUUCACACCUGCUCAUCAAUCAAACAAUGCAAAUCUUUACCAUAAAAAUGAAUUUGGACAAGGACCCAACACUCAGCUGGCUUCCGUUAUUAAAUUUGUCUAGGUAUAGACAAAUUGUGGACAUUUCUGGCGUUUGUAAAAAUUUGUGUGAAGGAACUCGGUUGAAUAUUGAAAGUGGAUGUUAUUUUUCUUGUUCUUCGUCCUUUAUAGAAUCGUGAUUAUGUAAAAGGAAGACAUAAGGAGAAGGAAAGAAGCUCAACGAUAUUAUUCACAUUAACUAGCUUGAGACCAAGACUUCAAGAGUGAUUAAUAUUAAAAAAGCUGAGUUACUGCGUCGAGCAUAUCAAAUACAUGUAUUUCUUUAUUUCAUUUAUACACUUAACAUGAUAAUCAGAUAAAACCUACAGCUAAUUACAGACUGGAGUUGACUCAACUUUUGUUAUACGACCACGCCACACAUACUGGGCAUGGUGGUGCCUGCAACGAAAGGAACCCGGGUGCGUCGUCGGUGAACAAACGCACUGCUUUAUCAAGCCACCGCCGCUGCCACCAUCACCACCAGCAGCCUCUCCACCCACUUCUUCAUUUGCUCCCUGCACCGGAACCCUUGAGACAAACCAUCUGCCUUGAACCAGCACCAAGUCUGUACGGCUAACCAGACUUACGCCUGUUGGGUAACACAUUUUCCUUUUGUGCUUUCACGCCCUCUUCUAAAGUCUAUGUUAUUUUGUGUUGUCGAAUGUGCAGCCUGAAAAGAGAAGAAAAGAAAAGAAUCUGCGUGCUUUAAGAGAGAUUAUUAUGCAAAAGAAAAGAAAGGAAGAAUGAAAGAGAGGUGGCCAAGCAAAGUUUUUAUUUUAUUUAUAUACGUUUUUGGGAUACAGAUAUAUGUAAAAAGCUUUUAGGUUGAUUCGCAUAAAACAUUUUGCUUUUUCCAAAGCUCCCAAUUAGGCGUUUUGCGCAUAUGUUCUCUCAGGUGAUGAUACUUCUCUGAAAACGAGGUUCUCAUGCGUACACGUGUCCAAACCAUUGUCUAUCAGAAGAUUAGACAGCCGUGGAUAGAUAGACACAACCGCACAGGACAUACUAGUGCCGCGUGUGGAGGAUCUCUAACGUGGCAUUAUGUGAGUGGAGUGGGCACAGUGGUAAAUAGAGCAGCACCAUGUAUGCUUGAGUAAGUAACGCUGAAGUUAAUUCAGUGUGUGCGGAUGCUUUCACUUUGCACGGGGACGAAUGGUUGCUACUUGCUUGCUUGCUGGUUUUAGGACUUUUCUUUGAUAUAACGUUAAAAAUUGAGUUUGUUGAGAUUUACGCAAUUCGUGUUUUGAAGUUUGAGGGGUUGGGCGUAAAAGGAAAAAGGAAAAAAAAGACAAGCCAAAGCUGAUGCCACUCCAGGUCAGAUUCUUAACAAAAGUUUAGUUCAUUUUUGGAUGGUAGCAAAAAGCAAAAGCCAUGACUGGGCCUAAAUUGCCGAUGCUUAUUCAUUCGCGAUCGCAUUCAUAUUAGUACCACAAACAAGAAAAGCAAAAAGAAUAUUCUGAUAGGUGGAGAAUUGGUUUCGUUCAGACUCUUUUGUCUUUUGAUUGCUAUUGAAGUGAAUUAUAACUAUAAAAAUAAAAAUUAAUAAUGUAUAAUGAGUAUGAUUUUUAAAUUAUAAUUUUAAUAAAAAUAAUAAAUAUAUUAUAAGUUUUCUAUUAUACAAAUGAUAGACCAAAUUAAUUUAAUUAAUAAAUAACAACAGUUAUUGUUUAUCAAAAUAUUUUAAUAUAGUAAUUUUUACGUUAAAUUUGCACAACCUCAAUGCUAAAGAAUAUCCUAGUAUUUUUCUGAUAAAUGAGAAACAUUUACUACGGUAGUAGUACCUAUCCGUUUUCAAUUAUGUGGUUUAAGAAAAUAAGUUGCACACUUAUUGAUGCCUAUAACUAGAAGAAUGGUUUUUAGGGGUAGGCAAAAAAACCAUAGUCUUAAAAAAAUCGAACCGAACCGACGGUUUUUUCUAAUUCGGUUCGGUUUUUAUUUUUAAAAAAACCAAAAUAUACUGUUUGUAAAAAAAAUCGAAAUGUCGGUUCAGUAUUCGGUUCACUUAACUGAAUCAAAAAACCGAAUUAUUUUUUUAUUUUAUUCAAAUCAAACAUGUGUUAUUUCUUUUUAUAACAUUAUGAUUAUGUUUAUAUAGAUGGAGUAUUGGAGUUUGGUUAUAUAUUUUAAAAUUUUAAUAUUUCAUAUUUUGGGAGUAUCUUAUUAAUAGUUAGUAAGAUAUUAGUGAUAAAAUGUGUUUUAAAUACUUUAUAUUUAUUGUUAGUAUUUGUAAUAAAAUUAGGAUAAAUUAAUUGUUGAAAAAAAUUAUUACAUUCAUGAGGCCCAAUGGGCUAAAAAUUUAAAAAUUCAAAAUAGGCUCAAUAGGUUCAGAACCGAAAAAACCGAACUGAAAAAAACCGAACUGAAACGAACCGAUCCGAAAAGAACUGUUUGAGUUCGGUUCUUAUUUGGUUCUUUUUAUAAAAUAACCGAUUUAAAUCGGUUCUACUUAAUUUCAAACCGAACCGUGCCCACCCCUAAUGGUUUCUCCAAGUGUGCAACUUAUUUUGGGCCAAUAUGAAUUUUUAUAAGUUGCACACUUAUUUUGGGCCAAUAUAGAAAAUGAGUUUCAAAUUAAGAUUGUGGAGGUGGGAGUUCAAUCCGCUUACAUGUCCAAUUGGCAGUGGUGGGUAGGACAGGUGUUGAUGUGGUAUGGGCUCAUGUUGUAUUAAAAUUAAAAUUAAAUGGACUUGAUUAUCUCGCAAAAGGUUGCUUUCGUCAUGCGAUGUGUGAGUUCGGGUUGGGCUGACUAGAGUUUAUGAAGUGGAUCUUGAGCAAGAGAAGGCUUUUCACCGAUCAGAGAGUGACGUAAGGCUUUACGGUGUUACCAGUGUAACGGACUUGGGUCCACACAAAUAUACUUACAACAAGCCCAUACGAGAUCUUGGGCCCACCGUUGAUCAGUAACAAAAAUGUGUUUGUUACUUUUUCCGAAUGAAUUCACACAUUGCGUCAAUAAUACAAAAGAAAUGUUUUUUACAUUUAGAUCAGAAGAAAACUGACUUUUACCGAGCAAAUCGGGCUUGACAAGCAGUAAUCUGUUAGGUUAUGCUGCUGGCUGGCAUCUUUUUAUUUAAUUGUCAUCCUACAAUUAUUAAUUAGGGAAAUUAUCCACCGUACAUCCGUUUUUUUUAAUUUUUUAAAAAAUACAUAAUUUUUUUUUUACUAAAAUCCACUUGAAGUUACAUUUUUUUUUUUCAUUUCCGUUUGAAAUCCGUUAAGGAAAUUAACGGAAUAUUGCUUAAAUGACUUUUUUACCCUCAAAUGUAAAAGAUAAUUUAUUCAUCGACCACUUGUUUUUUGUGUAUUUUUUCAGAAAUACACAAUUCUUAAUUUAUUUUUACUGAUCUCUACUCGAAGUUGUAUUGUUUUACACCUAUCCACCACUGUGUCGUUGUAAAAUGACGAUUUUACUCUUAUGAUGUUAGUAAAGUUAUAACGGUCUCCAAACAGAAGUGGAAAAGUGAAAAAAAAUGUAAUUUCAAGUGGAUUCCAGCAAAAAAAAAAAAGAAUUGUAUAUUUUUAAAAAAUAGUGAAAAAACGGGUGGACGGUGGAUAAUUUCCGUAUUAAUUAUUAGUUACCAAAUAGUCAAAUACCUAAUUGACGUUUAUAUAUAUUGUUUUCCAGAUAAAUCUCCGACUUCAAUUCAAUGGUCCUUCUCAAUGACGUCUCGCUGAGUACAUCUCGAUACAACUCAAUUAUAAUCGGUGUAAUUUUCCCCCUUUUUUUUCCCCUAAUAUUGCCAUAGACGAGGACUUAUUUUGUUAUUCAACUUCAACCAGUCUCUUAGUCGCUGCCACAAGCCCACAAGUGUCUAUGUUAUGAGACCAUUCUAAAGGAGGAAAAAGCCAAAGUCAAAGAGCCAUCAUUUUUUAACCAACAAAUUUUGAAAUGUAUUGUUGCAAAUCUACCGUUGACAAGGAUAGAAAAUUCAAACACUCCAUACGAUAAAUUAACUGACAAUAUUAUUUUCCGUAACUCCACGAUCAAUAAUUAAGAAUUUAUAUCUCCCUCAACAUAUAAAAGUCGAUAACUUGAGACAUAAUCUCCAUCUAAAUAAAUAAUAAUUAUAGUUACUCUAUAAUAAAAUAAUUAAAUAUAAGCGUAAGCGUUUACGUAAUAAAACAACAUCAAUUUUGUUAGCCAAUCAUGUGAUAAAAGAAAAACGAAAAUAAAAGGAAACAACAGCUGACCAAGCAAAGUAUCAUUGUAUUAUUUGUAUACAAUUUCUUUCUCCUUCACACUGAUUUGUCUCUAGAAGUUAAUUAUUAUUUGUUUUUGGUCGUCAAAAUAUAAAAACAAUAUAGAAGGCAACGUGGCGGAGUAUAAGUGGAGGAGGGAGGGACCGAGGAGUCCGAGCCAGUUCCGUGUCCUACAGUCCUAGUCCUCCUCGAUGAGCCGCCAACCGAAUCGAGUCAAAUAAAUCUCGCGUUUACCACGCGUUGCUUUGAAGUUUAGAUUCCACACUCCCAAUAUAUUUGCCACGCCUUUGCACUUUCUUGAAAUUUCCAGGAAACUGCAAGUGCAAUUUGAUUGCUUACAAAUCUUCUCGUAUAAAUAAAAUAUCACAACGCCUCUCGCCGAUCGAAAAGCACUCAUCAAAGACAGAGUUGUUACAGGGUAUCACUCGGCGAGGGAAAAUAUGAUGAACUCGAUGAGAUUAUACGCUCUCCCAGUAAUUGGAUUCAUGUUCAUGGCGAUACUGCAACUGGGUAAUGCUCAAAACAUGGCUCCUUCACCGGCUCCGGCUCCGUCUAGCGAUGGUUAGUACUCGUAUAGUCAGUCACAUACACAAAUCAAUCAACCAUAUUAAUCUUUUUUUUUUUGGGUUAAAAGUGAAAAAUAAAAUUUAAUUGAAGUGGAUUGGGUUUGAUCUGCAGGAACAGCGAUCGAUCAGGGGAUUGCAUACAUCCUUAUGGUGCUGGCGCUGGCAAUUACAUACCUGGUGCAUUGAUUUUGAUUCUUUUUCAACUGAUUCUUUUAUGUAUGUAGUUUUUCUCCACAAUCAUUUCACUUGGAGAGAAAGUCACUGCAUUAUUUGUUAUUCUUUGCCCUGUAGCCUUGCCCUAUAUAUGUAAUUAACUGGUUACUGCAAUCUUUCAUUGAAUCCAAAUACUUCUUUUUUUUUCCUCUUACUUGGUGUAUGCGAUUUUGUUCAUGUUUCCGGGUCCGAUCCUGUAUUUUCUGCACGAUUAUGGGUGUUUUCGCAUUUCAAGAUACUAUAUAAAUAAAUAUACGAAACAAAAGCAAAAAAAUUCGAGAUAAUCUUCUUUAUGGCCAAUUGGCCAUUUCAUGAUAUGCAGCAAAAAAAUUCGUAAGUUGAUACGCAGCCACUUGAUGAUAUGAAAAAUAAGAAAAUAACGACCUACUAGUUGGGUUGUGUAGGGUUGGCCGAAUGCCAAUUCCCAAGGCGGAUCGAAUACCUAACCGGUUUGCUGAAGAUAUGGUAUUUGCAGAUAUCUAAAUAUUAGUUAAGUUUUCGUUCCUGUUGUGAAAUUAAUGGCCUCUACCAGUUUAGUAGUUCUAGCUCUAUUAUAGGAGCAAAAGCCAAUUAAUUGAAUUUUUAAUGCUUUAGUGCUAGUAUUAUUAUGAUUAAUGGGACAAAUUUUUAGAGCUAUAAAUAUAGCUUAUAUUGUAGUAAAAAGAAAUGAAAAUGAGAAUGGAUUGGAGAGCAUUCCAUUGGGAAAAUUAAGAUAGUUAUUGAGAAUCUGUACAUUGAAAAAUCAAAGCUUAUGGUAAAUAAUAAUCAAGGAAGCUUCGCUAAAUUCCUUACGAAUUUCAUUUAUAACAAUUCAGGCACAUUGAGUUUUUUUAUUUUUUGAGUUUUGGGUUAGUGGAAUAUUAUACAAUUGUCAUAUUACACAGCAAUGUAAUAAUAUUUUGAGUACAUAAGGAAGUUUUAAGGAAAAUUAUUUUAUUAGUACUUUUAAUUAUAAUUAUUUUUAUAUAUGAUUCAAGAAUUUUAUAUUUUGAUUAAUCAUAAUUUCAAGAGUUUUAUUUUUUUAGAAGUUUAUUUUUUAUUGAAAAUAAGUGUCCUUAAUCAAAAUUUCGGGCGAAAAAUUACUGAAAAUCUUGUGAAAUAGGGUGAGAGCCAAAGUUUUGAUGCAUAAACAAUUAUUUGUUUGUUGCUAUCACAUUGUCUUAUGGAGUUUUUGAAACUUAUAUUAUCUUAUACUUAUUUUGAUUUUAUAAAAUAAAUUUUGAAGGAGAUCUCUUUUGGCAAUGUUAACCGGAUUUUGGUGGAUCCGAUUACAACAAAUAAGAUAGCAUUUUAAAUAAGAAAGGUUGCCAAUCUUGAAAUGUGCUUUUCACAAGACCAAGGAGGAUAGCUAGUUGAGUAUUUGAUGAGGGGCAGUAGGCUCAACCUCUAAGCAAUUUAGGCGGUUGCUUAAGGUCCCGUUUUACAUGAAAGCCCCAUGAGAUAAUUAUUUUAUAUAUAAAAAGAGAAAGUGAAUUUAAAAAUCAUUAUUAUGCAUUUAAUUUAUUAUAUUUUGUAUUUAUCUUUUCCUAAAUAAACUAUCAAAUUCCUAUAAAGUUUAUUUAAUAUAGUACUUAGUAGUUUUAAUUCCUACAAAAUUGAUAAAUUAAUAGUUUCAAUCCUACAAAUUCUCUAUUUCAUUGUUAUAAUUAAUAUGUUAUAAUUUAAAAGUUUUAUAUUCAUUUUAAACUUCUAUAAAAGCCUCACAUUUUAUUAUUUAUCUAUUAAGUUUUUCCUCCAACAAUCAAGACACGAUAUGUUCUUGGUCUUUGAGAGAAAGAAAGAGAGAAAAGGAAAAAAAAUCCUACUUCCUCUACUUUUCCACUUAAAAAGAAAAAGAAAAAAUCUAAUAAUUUUCUCUAUUCUCUAUGGUUAUUGGUAUUUAUUCAAAUGCUCAAACAAUUAAUAUAAAGAUAAAGUUAAUUUAUGAUUUCAUCUCAAAUUACAGAUUUUAUCUUUUUAUUAUUCUCUUAAUUAGUUGUGUUCUUUAUUUGUUCUUAUUUCUUUUUAAUAUAUUCUUUUAUUCAUCUACUUUUUUGUGUGUGCUUAUUUGAUCUAUUUUGAAAUAAAACUAUAUUGAAAAAACUUUAGAAAAUAGAAGAAUAGAAAAAUUAGUUUAAUCUAGAAAAGGAGUAGUAAAAAAAUAUUUAAUUUGAGUUAAAAAAAACAAUAAGUGAAAUUGUUAUAAUUGAAUCAAAAUUUCAUGGAUUAGCAAUAGUAUAAUAUAAUUUUAUUUAAUAAUUUUACAUUUUAGAUUGUUUAAAGAAUUGAUUUUCAAUAAAUAAUAUAUAACUAAUAUAUAUAUUGUCUUAAAUUUUAAGAAGAACUAAUUAAAACCAUUUGUCUAAGACCCCAAAUAUGGUUGAGUUAGCUCUGAUGAGGGAAUGAAGAUGUAAUAAAAACAAGGAAUAAACCACCAAGUUGGGUUUGUGAGAACCUGCAAAAUGGAAGUAAAUCGUGGUUAGAGGUAGAGUCAACAGUGAUUGACAACCAUACUCAAACACUCAAAUUAGAUUUUGAAUAAUAAGAGGCGGUCUUGAGAUAAAAAAUGGAACUUAAAGCUAUUAACAGCGGCAAAUAUGCGGUGAGGAAGAAUAUAAAUGUGUAAUUUCAAUUUUCACCCGACGCGAAUUUGUUUUUUUACCUUUUUUUUCUGUUUAGGAUUUUUUGAUUUGGUUGCAUUUGUGGGUCAAGUGUUAAUGGGUCCAACAAUAUAAGAUUUACACAUUUUUUGUUUUAUUUCACACUUAAUCUGCUGUACGGCCAGGCGGAUGUACGGCACAGCAGGUUGUGUUCUUUAUUUGUUCUUAUUUCUUUUUAAUAUAUUCUUUUAUUCAUCUACUUUUUUGUGUGUGCUUAUUUGAUCUAUUUUGAAAUAAAACUAUAUUGAAAAAACUUUAGAAAAUAGAAGAAUAGAAAAAUUAGUUUAAUCUAGAAAAGGAGUAGUAAAAAAAUAUUUAAUUUGAGUUAAAAAAAACAAUAAGUGAAAUUGUUAUAAUUGAAUCAAAAUUUCAUGGAUUAGCAAUAGUAUAAUAUAAUUUUAUUUAAUAAUUUUACAUUUUAGAUUGUUUAAAGAAUUGAUUUUCAAUAAAUAAUAUAUAACUAAUAUAUAUAUUGUCUUAAAUUUUAAGAAGAACUAAUUAAAACCAUUUGUCUAAGACCCCAAAUAUGGUUGAGUUAGCUCUGAUGAGGGAAUGAAGAUGUAAUAAAAACAAGGAAUAAACCACCAAGUUGGGUUUGUGAGAACCUGCAAAAUGGAAGUAAAUCGUGGUUAGAGGUAGAGUCAACAGUGAUUGACAACCAUACUCAAACACUCAAAUUAGAUUUUGAAUAAUAAGAGGCGGUCUUGAGAUAAAAAAUGGAACUUAAAGCUAUUAACAGCGGCAAAUAUGCGGUGAGGAAGAAUAUAAAUGUGUAAUUUCAAUUUUCACCCGACGCGAAUUUGUUUUUUUACCUUUUUUUUCUGUUUAGGAUUUUUUGAUUUGGUUGCAUUUGUGGGUCAAGUGUUAAUGGGUCCAACAAUAUAAGCUCUGUUAACAGUGAGCUCAACGCAUUCAAUCAAAGUUCUUUGUGGGCUGAUCAAGUCAAUUAAGUCACUAUUUGUGGAUGAAAUUGAGUCAAAUUGUGAAAUACCAAAGAUUAUUAGCCUGUUAGAUGUGAAAGAUUUACAAACGAAAUUGCUUGCAAUGGACUGCGUACUUGAAAUUGGCUAUUUUGGUAAAAUAUGUGUAAUAUAGUUACAGUUCGUAUGAAAAUCACAUGAUAAUCUUUUUUUCAUUCUCCAAUUAUCAUUUGGAAGCAAUUUCAGCCGCUGUUUCAGUUUAGUUUCUGCAUCAUACGGGCUGCCUCGAACUAAAUUACUAAAGUUCGUAUGAAAAUCACGGAUCUGUUUUACUUUCUUUUCUUUCAAAAUGACUUCAGAAGUAACUCUGGGCACAAGCUCAAUGCACCUGUAUAUAUUUCUUUUCCCUUUUCGUGUCAAAUUUAAAACUUUCUUCGCAUUUAGUUAGAUUGUCACGUAAUCUAGCUUUAGUCUUCUAGUCUUCUAGAUCAGAAUAAAUUGUAUGAUUUGGUGUUUUGGUAUCCUGAAUAUUUCAUCAUUUGUUUAAUAUUUUCAUCAUUUGCUGUUUAAUUUGUUUAUUUUCGAAUUAUUAACCCGUCCAAAUUAGUAAUCCGUACCAAAUUAUUAACCCAAACCAUAUUGCAACCCGAAAUCAACAAUCUGAACUCGAACUGAAUUAAAAACCUAAGUCAAAUCAAACGAAAUGUGGAAUCGAACCAAACCAAAAUAAUUUUCUAACUGUUUGGGUUGAAUUUUUAAACCUGAAUGGGUCACCAACCGAACCGAAAUUGAAACAUCCCCCCUCCUAUGAUUUCCAUUUACACGGAUAGUAGUGGUGAAUUUCAAGCUCUAAAAUCCUUCCUUAACAUGGUAUCUCUCACUUCCUCAAUCCACCACACACACCCGAACACAAUGGCUCUACUGAGCAUCGUCAUCGAGAUCUUGAAACAAGAAUCACUUUUUUAGAUCAAGUCUUAAAUCUUUCUCACAGCUAUCUAUCUUAUUAAUAGUACGCCCACUUCGCUGCUCCAAUUAAUUUCAAAGUUAGAAAAAUUAUUUGAUCAUUCACCUAAUUACACAAAAUUACGUGUGUUUGGGUGCUUUUUUUUUUUUUUGGUCUAUGGCUCAAACUUUACACUAAUUAUAAAUUCGAACCAAAAUCUAAGCCUAAUGUUUUCUUAGGUUACUCUUCCACACAAAGUGCCUUUAAAUGCCUUGACCCUACAAUCAAAAGACUUUAUAUUUUUGGACAUGUACUAUUUGUUGAGAAUGUAUUUCGUUAAAAGUUCUAUUGACCAAAACUUGCCCAGAAUAUGUCUAGAUAAUUUUUACAUAUGGGAUUAUGGGUCCCUUCACUUAAUUCACUAUCACAUAUUUCUAUUCCCACUCAAAGUCAAACUCUCCAUACCGAAAAUCACUCCUUAAAUAAGCCAAAUAUUCCUCCUUCCAUUUACAUUUUAUACUCCUGCACAUCACCAACCACACUUAAAUUCCUCUUAACUUCACAGAAAAUCACUCCUCCCCAACUCAACCAAAUACAUCUCCACCAAACACAACCCAAAAUCACGUGUCUCUCACUACAAGUGUUUCCGAAGAAUCCUGCCCUUCUGUUAUGUUGCAUGAGCUAGCCAUUUGCACAUCUUUGACCCCACAAGAUGCCUUUGACAGUGAGACUUCCUCAUCUCAAAAGAAAACCUCCACAUCCCUAUCUCCUUUUAAUACCUCAAGCCGCCUUCAACAACACCAAUAAAACCCCUCGUACCAUCACCCGUGCCCAAAAUAACAUCUUUAGAUCAAAUCCCCGAUUUUUUGUCUCCAGCUGACAUUUACCUCCAGCCACUAUUAAGCCUACAUCUGUCUCACAAGCAUUAAAAUAACCAUAAUGGAGAACAGUCGUGUCUGAGGAGUUUGAUGCUCUUAUUCGUAAUGGUACGUGGGAGCUCACUCCAUCUUUUCUCUUCCAUCUCAAAAUAUUGUGGGCUGUAAAUGGGUGUUUCGAAUUAAACGAAAUGCUGAUGGUUCUAUAAAUUGGUAAAAGGCUCGGCUUGUGGCUUAAGGAUUCCAUCAGAGGCCCUGGCUUGACUACACUGAAAUAUUUAGCUCUGUAAUCAAGCCUACUACCGUUUGCCUUAUACUAUGUUUGGCAUUAUCACAAGGAUGAUCUUUGCGACAACUUAAUGAGGUAUUUAUGUCUCAACCACCUGUUUUUAUUGAUCCCACAUAUCCUACUUAUGUUUGCAACUUAGAAAAGCACUCUACGCUAGCCCCACAUGCCGGGUACACUAAGCUUCGGAACUUUCUUCUAUCGAUGGGAUUUUUCAAUUCAUUAUCAGACCCUUCUUUAUUUACCUACUCUCAUGCGGGUGUUGCUUAUUUAUUGGUAUAUGGUGAUAAUUUAGUCCUCAUUGGCAAUAACAAUUCUAAUGAUGGAAUUCAUCUUGCAUAUGUGUUGGUUUUUUAUAUUGAAGAAGAUGCAGUUGGACUUGUGGUUUGAUUGAUUAGAUUUUGUUGAACUACUAAAAAAUCUGCAACGUUUUACAUACGAGUAAUUUUAGAGUAUAAGCUUCACUGGUUGAUAUAGCCAUCCAAUGUUUGUUAUCGUGAGGGUUUGCCUAAUCCAGAUUAAAUCAAGCUAUCAAUUUUCUUGAUGUUGUAAAACUCCCAUUGUACUCACUGCUAACAUCAUGUGAUCGAAUACACGUAUUCGUUUGAAAUUUUGCUUGAAGAUUCUUAUGUCUUGACCAUCUGCCAAAAUAAGUGAGUUUUCUUUAUUCGAUUUACGAGUGCGUGUCGUGUUUUUUUUUUCAUAUCCAUGGAACAAGUUUAUGAUUUAGUAAUUACUAUUGGGUUUUUUCCUUGUUUCUUCUUCCAUCAUGUUUUUAAUCUUUUUUUACUAAGUGAAAUUGUAGGUUAUUGAUUUUUCUUUCGGUGAGGAGAUUAAGGUUAGAGCGGUUCAUCUUUGCAUGGGAAAAGAAUGCAAGAUUUGGAAGGUGGAAUUCAUCGAUAAAAGAGGCUCAAUAAAAGCCAGGAGAAUCCUCUAUCUUUUGCUCCAAUCGCCCAGCAUCAUGCUAGAAGAGGUAAUAGCUCUAGAGCCUACUGUUAGGAUGUCCUAACAAGAAAUCCAGUUAAAGACAGUUUUUGUUUGUCCAAAUUCAGGUGCAAGUGGUAGACGCAGAGGUAGAGGUUGUAAAAUGGUGAAUCAAGAGAAUGCCAAGACUUCUGUUGCUGGGCUUCGCGUCAGGGUUGGCACAGGUUUGGACUUGCCAGUGAAAUAGGUAGGUGAGAAAAGGGCUGAAAAAUUAUUGGCUGUUGAGGAGGAAGGAAGUGCAAGUCCACUUCCUAGGAAGGUACUACUUUUUCAUCGUGAACACUUGUAGUAAAAUUAGUAGAUAUAAAAACAGACAACUUUUAUUACAUUUUCUAAUGUGAAAAUCACAUUGCUCUUGACCUGAAUUGAUAUUUUUCUUUUUUAUCGUCCAUUGACUUUAUAGUUGCUUCUUUCUUAAACCUUGUUAACUUUCAUGGAAACUUAAAAAAAAAAAAUCAUGGAAAGCUGUUGGCUAUAGUUAGAUUUUAAAUAAAUUCUUCUCAACCAUGACAAGCAGUCAAAUGAAUUUGUUUUUUGGUUGUUUAUGGAAAAAUAAGCCAAGAAUUUUUAAGAUAAAGUCAAGUUUUAAAAUGAUUAAGCUUUAUACGUUGUUUUUACCCAAAACGUUUCUGCUUGUUAUAAUGCGUUGUUAGCUUUAGCAGCCUAUGUCAUGUCUUUCUAGUUCAUGCAUUAGAGGCAAUACUUGGAAGUAGUUUAUUUUUAAUUUAUUAUGCAUUUCCUCUUCAGAUAUAGCUUGGGAACUCCCCUUUGUAUAAGGUAGAGAAAAAACUGGAAAAAUGGGGUUUUGGACAAGUGUAUGUUGGAAGAAGGAUGACCGGUAGCAUAGGGCGCCAUGGGCCUGAUGCCUUAGAGGUUUAAUUUCUUGUGCAAUUCUGGUAAACCAUGCAGAAUUAUUAGGAAGUGGAUUUUUUUUGUUAUGUUUUGUUAAUGUUAUUCUCCUGUUAUGUUUGUAGGUUGCUAUGAAGUUUGAGUGUCGAAAUAAUAAAGGGUGCAACUUAAGCCCUCCUUACAAGUAGUAAGUAUGGGUGUGUUUGGAAGUGAGGUGAUGUACCUUUUAAGCUGCAACUGCUGUGGAGUAAAAAUUACAGUUGUGGAAUAGAAGUUAGGAAAAAAAUUUGUUAAGCUAUCAAAGCCCAACUACAAGUGUUACCAAACACCUUAGUUCCCAAACGAGCUAUACAUAGGUAGGCGAGUUUGAUUCUUCUGCUGUUUUAACUCAACUUUUAUGUCCUAACCAAUCUUUCUGUCUCAAAAUUAUUGUUCAGCACUCUUAAUGGUUGUUAUGGGCUUCCUUUGGUUCAUUACAAAGGCCAGCAAAGAAACUACUAUAUCCUUAUAGGUUUCACCCUUUGCAUCUUUUAUAUUUCCUGUUUACGUAGAAGGUUAUUUUUACCUUUUGGUUAUAGAUAUUAGUAAUCUUCUAUGAUUACUAUAGAUUUUACAGAGUGAGGGGGAAAAAUUCUCUUUUUCCAUUCAAUAAAAAAUAGAGAAAACAAAUAACUUAAAUAGGGAAAAAACAGAGGAUUAAUUUUAUACUUAGCAACUGACUUAUAUCAUCCCUAAAUCUUAGGAUUUUAUUCAAAUAUUUAACAAAUAGAUCAUAAUCAAUUAUUUCUAAUCUAUCAACACUCUCCCUCAAGUUGGUGCAAAUGUAUCUGUCAUGCCCAACUUGCUAACUUGAACUUCCAAUGGCUGUCUCAGGCUCUCAGCAAGCCUUUAGUUAAAACAUCUGCAACUUGAUGUGUGGUAGGUACAAAUGGAGUAUAAAUUAUUCCUUCUUCAAGCUUUUCUCAACGUGGCUGCCUUGUUAUCACAAUACAACUUCAUAGGCAAACUCACUAGUCUCUUAAGCACUUUUAGAGCCAUUUUUAGCCAAAGAAUCUCACAUACUCCUUGUGCCAUUGAUCUGAAUUUAGCCUUAGCACUACUUCUAACACCAAUAUUCUACUUCUUGCUUCUCUAAGUGACUAAAUUGCCCUAUAGAAAUGUACAGUACCCUAAAGUUGACAUUCUAUCAGUUACUGUACCUGCCCAAUCAGCAUCAGUAUACACCUCAAUUCCCCUCUUCUCAUUUUUCUUGAAAAAGAGUCUUUUUCCUGGUGCACUUUUCAGAUAACGAAGGAUUCAGUAUAGAGCUUCAAGAUGUUCUUCAUAUGGAGAAUGCAUAAAUUGGCUUACCAUGCUUACAAUGAAAGUAAUGUCUGGACGAGUAUAUGACAAGUAAAUUAGUCUCCCAAUUAGUCUUUGAUAUCUCCCAUUGUCUACUGGAACACCAUAUUUUACUUCCUCAAGUUUAGAGUUGGCUUUUAUUGGAGCGUCAGAAGGUUUGCAACCACUCAUCCCAGUUUCUUUCAAGAGAUCAAGAAUAUAAUUCCGUUGUGAGACAACAAUGCCCUUCUUUGAUGUUGCCACUUCUAUUCUACGAAAGUAUUUUAGUUGGCCUAAAUCUUUAAUCUCAAACUCCUUGGCUAGGUUUUGUUUCAAUAUGCUCAUUUAUACUAUAUCAUCUCCAGUUAAAAUUAUAUCAUCUACAUAGACAAUAAGAACAUAAAUUUUAUUUUCAAUAUAUCUCUUUGUGAAAAGAGUAUGAUCAGAUUGUCCUUGAUCAUAUCCUUGGUUUUUGAACGAAAUUUGUGAACCUCUCAAACCAAGCUCUGGGAGAUUGUUUAAGGCCGUAUAAAUACCUUUUUAGUUUACGUACCUUGGUUCCAAAUUACUCAUUAAAACCAGGUAGAGGCUCUAUAUAGACUUCCUAUUCUAAGUCCUCAUUCAACAAAUCAUUAUUCACAUCCAGUUGAUUUAAAGGCCAAUCAAGAUUAGUUGUAAUAAACAAGAGUACUCAAAUUGUAUUUACCUUUGCCACUGGAGAGAAAGUCUCAGAGUAGUCUACUCUAUAUGUCUGAGUGAACCCUUUGGCUACGAAUCUAGCCUUGUACAUUUCCAAGGAUCCAUCUGAAUUGUACUUCACAGUUAACACCCAUUUAUAGCCGACAAUUGUCUUCCCAUAUGGCAGGUCCACUUUCUCCCAAGUAGCAUUCUUCUUUAGGGCUCUCAUCUCCUCAAGCAUAGCUUCUUUCCACUUAGGAACAUUUAGAGCCUCAUGGACACUUUUAGGAAUAACCACAUUGGACAUUUGUGAAAUAAAAGCACAAUAUGAUGAAGAAAUAUUUUUGUAAAAUAUAAAAUUUGACAAAGGAUGUUUUGCACAAGACCUAACACAUUUUCUAAGAGCAAUGGGAAGAUCAAGCUAACUAGAAGAAUUUGACUCAUAAUUAUCUAGAGGAUUAUUUUAAGGGAUUUCUGAAGAAUCGUCAUGAACUUCAUGAUCCAACCUCUAGUCAGAUUCUUAAUGGUGUUGUAUGAUAGUGACUCUUUUUUGUGCUAGAUGCUCCUUUGAAUAUACAAGACCUUUAAACCGUUUUGCAUACAUCUCAGUUGUCUCAUUAGUUUGAUUUUGCGAUGGAAUUACCAAAGGUUGUUCAGUUGUAGAUGCAAUAUUUUUAACAUUUAGUUCAAUUAUUUCCACAGAUUUUGUGUUUCCCAUCCCAUUUUCUUUCGGUGACUGUUUGCAAGAAACAUCAUCAUCUUGAAAAAACUCAAAAGUUAAAUCAGAAUUAUCUAAAAAAUCAUCUUCACUAGUGCUCUCCCCAUAAAAAUGGAAAUUGUUGUAGUAUGAUUGUCCUUAAAAAAAGUGACAUCCAUAGACAAACAUUUUUUUUCAAAAUCGGAUCAAAACAUUUAUAACCUCUUUGAUUUGUAGGAUAGCCUACAAAAAUACAUUUAUGUGCCUUUGGAUAAAGUUUUGAACAUCUAGUAUCAUGAUUAUGAACAAAGGCCACACUUCCAAAAAUUUUAAAGGGAAUGUCGGUUGUUAGCAUUCACUUAAAACUUUAAUUGGUGUUUUAAAGUCCAAAAUUAUCGUAGGCAGUCUAUUAAUCCAAUAAGUGGCUAUUAGCACUACUUCUCCCCAAAGGUAUUUGAGAACCUUAGUCGUAAAACUAAUAGCUUUAACAACUUCAAGGAGAUGUCUGUUUUUUUCUUUCAGCCUCCCCAUUUUGUUGAGGUGUAUUAUUACAAGAAUUUUAGUGAACAAUCUCUUUUUCAGCAAAAAAAUUCCCUAACACUUUGUUAAAAACUCUUUCCAUUAUCAAAUCGAAAAAUUUUAAUCUGAGUAUGAAAUUGUGUCUGAACCAUAUUAUAAAAAUUUAUAAACACAGUUUCAGCAUCAAAUUUUUCUUUUAAAAGAAAGACCCAAGUGACUCUAGUAUGAUCAUCAAUAAAAAGAAUAAACCAGCGCUUUUUAGAAAAAGUUGGCACUCUAGAAGGACCCCAAACAUCACUAUGAAUCAUCGUAAAUGGUUUUGAUUUUUUAUAUGGUUGAGAUUGGAAAAUAGCCCGAUGACGUUUAGCUAAUUCACAAGAUUCACAUCGAAAACUAUAAGAAUUUUUAUUCAUGAAUAACUUGGGUAACAAAUGCUUUAAAUAUUGAAAAUUUGGAUGUCCUAAUCAAUAAUUCCAUAACAUAAUCUUACUAUCAUUAACAAUAGAGAUAGAAAUGAAACAAGUCUGUAGAUCUUUCCUUUCAUAAGUUGAUCCAUUAUUAAAGAAGUAGAGUCCACCACUCAUUUCAACACCCCCAAUCAUCUUCCCCGAGGUUAAAUCCUGAAAUUUACAACAUUAAGAUUGAAAAAUAACUUGAUAGUUGUGAUCAAAAGUUAAUUUACUGAUAGAUAAAAGAUUAUAAGACAAAUGUGGGACGUGCAAAACAUUCAUAAGAAUUAGAAAAGGAGAAAUAAUAAUUGUUCCUUUUCCAGCAACAGUAGCUAAGAACCAUUUGUAAUUUUAACCUUUUGAUUUCUUCCACAAGGUAUAUAAGAGGAAAAGAGUAGAGAAUUACCAAUCAUAUGAUCAGUAUCACCUGAAUCUAAUAUCUAGGAGCCAUGAGACUUGGUAUAAGCUAGGGCUACAAAGAAAGAAUUACCUGACUGUGCUAAAGAACAAGAUGGGUUAGAUUUUUCUAACGAUUAGGACUGAAACAUUUUAUAUAAAUGCUCUAUUUGUUCCUUGGUAAAAGGAAGAGACUCUGAGCAUGAUUGUUGCCCUGGAUCUGUGCUGCUAGCUUGAAAUGCGCAUACAUCUCCCCCUGACUUAGUGUCAUUGCCUGAUUUUUUCUUUGGUUUCCCGUGCAAUUCCAGCAACUUUCUUGAGUAUGCCACGGCUUUCGACAAUGGUCACACCAGGGCUUCUGCUUUCCCCCUGGGUCUAUACCUCGGGCCAUAAGAGUUGAUCCUUUACCAUCUAUUUUUUGUUCAUCAUUAUUCUUCAACAUCACUUGCCGUCGUACUUUUUCUCUACGCACUUCUGAGAAAACUUCUCUUAUAGUUUGCAAAGGUUUUUUUUUCCAUAGUAUACGUCCUCGAACCUCAUUAAGUUCUUUGUUCAAACCAACCAAGAAAACAAAUACCCGAUCUCUUUCAAUUUUCUUUUUGUACCGAGCACUAUCAUUAGAAUUUUUCCAUUGUUUAUUUUCAAACAAGUCCAAUUCCUACCAAACAGCCAUCAUAUCAUUAUGAUUAGUUGUUACCUCACGAUUACUUUGCUGCAUCUUCCAUAUACAGGUGUUUAAUUCAUACAAUUAUGACUGAUUUUCCAGAUCUGCGUAGGUUUCUCGAACUACUUCUCAGACAUCACAAGUAGUAUUUAAGUACAUGAAGGUUUUUCCGAUAAUAGGAUCCAUUGAGUUGAUCAGCCAGGCAGUAACCAUUGAGUUUUCUAAAUGCCACUGCCUGUAUUUUGGAUCAUUAAUGGCUGGUGGUGUUACCUCGCCAUUCGAGUACCUUAGUUUCCCUUUUCCAUCAAUCACCAAAUGCACGAACUGAGACCAUUCAAAAUAAUUCUUUCUAUUCAAUUUGCGAAUGGUAAUUUGAAGAGAAUUUUCAUAAACAGAAACAGCCGGAAGCGACUAAGAAACUUCCUCCGAUGAAGUCCCACUACUGCUGCCAUCUAAAGAGGUUGAACCAGAGCCAACCAUGGCAGCCUUAAAAUUCAUGAUCAAGCUCGAGGCUCUAAUACCAUGUAGAUUUUACAGAGGGAAAAGGAGGAAAAUUUCUCUUAUUCCAUUCAAUAAAAAAUAGAGAAAACAAACAACUUAAAUAGGGAAAAAAACAAAGGAUUAAUCAUAUACUUAGGAACUAACUUAUCUCAUCCCUAAAUCUUAGGAUUUUAUCCAAAUCUCUAACAAACAGUCAUCCCUAAAUCUUAGGAAACUAACUUAUCUCAUCCCUAAAUCUUAGGAUUUUAUCCAAAUCUCUAACAAACAGAUCCUAAUCAAUUAUUUCUAAUUUAUCAACAAUUACAUUGUACUCAAUUGUUUUGGGGUUUGUAAAUUCAGGUAAUGGACAUACUAGGCCCAAGUUUAUGGGAUGUUUGGAACUCUAACAACCAGAUGUAUAAAACAAUUAUAUUCUCUCUCUAUUUUGUCAUUGUUUUAUUUAUUUCUGUUAAUUAAAAAAUUACCAUGAUUAGUUCCUCAAAAAUUACAUUUUGCCUUUCAGUAUUGUUGUCUUUCUGUUUUGAAUUUUGUUGAUUAUUUAUCAUUAUUUUUCUUCCUCUCAGAGGCUACCUGAAGAGAUGGUGGCUUGUAUAGUAGUGGAGGAAAUAUCUAUUUCGAAACAAUUUCACCUUAGAGGGUACUUUGAAAUUGCUAGGAUCUUCGAUGUUUUCCUUUUUAUUUCCUUUAUUCUUUAAUGUAUUUUUUUCCAGGACUUCUUGGUUUCUAUCGUAGUUUUGUACAUGGAGAUGUUAAGUCAUAAAACUUUUUGCUUGGCCAGCCCGAAACAACUGAUUAGAAGAAAUUUUUUUGGUUUGAUAUUGGUAGAGGUAUGACUUCAUAUGGAGAUACUUCAACAGUUUCAUGUCAUUGAUAAUAAUGAAAUGAGCUAUAAAUAGUCUACCAUUGUCUACUUCAGCUUUAAGAUGGAGAGAUGCAAGUUCUUGGUGUCAUAUCGAUUAUGACCAAAAGCCUGAUGUUUUCAGGUAAUCAUAUUUUCCAUCACCCUUGUACGAGUACAAAAUUCUGCUGCUUUUGAUACACCAUAUGCACAAGUCAUGAAAAUGUUUGAGCUUCGUUGAUUCUACAUAUCUUGUAUAUUUCAUUUUAUACUUUUAUUGAAUGUGAUAAUUUGUCUUUUCAUUAUGGCAUAUCACAUUGCCAUAAUUGUAUUUCAUGCUUUUAUCUUCCGUCAAAUGAAUGCACAAAAAAUACUUUUAUCUUUUGACAGUCAGAUAUAUCUUAUACUUUUGGCAGGGGAACUGUACAUUAUGCAAGUAUACAUGCUCAUUUAGGUAGGACAGGAAGCUGAAGAGAUGACCUUGAAUCAUUGGCAUAUACCUUAAUAUUUCUUGGCAGAGGAAAACUUCCCUGGCAAGGAUUUGUUGUGGGUUUAUCCUACCACAUAUUGUUGAGCAAUUUUGUAGCUUUGAUUGUUUAGAGUUCAUUUGUUGAUAACUUGACGGCUUAAAUGACAAUCAGUGUCGGCCAAUUACUUAAUUAAUUAUUGGAGUAUCCAGAUGGUUUAAAUGACACUGCCCCGCUCGAUGCCAUAGCCAAUUAAAAAGUUGAUUUGCAUUUUUCUACCAUAAAUUAUAUUGGGAUCACCACUUUUAAAAGCAGAAACAUAAAAGCUCAUCUGAAAUAUUCUUAUAAAGAUUGGAGGGGCUCAACUUCACAUUUGCAACUCUGAAAUGAAUUGUAACUUUAUGAAAUUCAAGAUGUGAACUAAUAUUGUAACAAAUAACUAAGAAAGCUUGGUUCAGCUUCUAGCCUGGUUCAGCUUCUACCGCUUCGACAAGUUGUGUUGUAAUCAUAUUGGACAUUAUUGACUUUAAUUUGAGUGAUACUCUAAUGGUAAUAAAGCCCGCAGAAAACCCGUAUCAACAAAAAUGUUUCUAGUAUCAAUAAAAGAUUUUCCACUAACAGUUGAUAAGGAUACAAAUUCUAAUCUUUGAUCACUUCACUUGUACUAAUUGUUUUCUCACCCUUGAUGCAAUCAGUGUGGGUGACCAAAUAUUAGAAUUUGUGCCCUCAUAAAUUGUUAGUGGAAAAUCUUUUAUUGAUACCGAGAACAUUUUUGUUGAUAUGGGUGUUCUGCAGACUUUAUUGCCAUUAGAGUAUCACUCAAAAUUAAAGUCGGUAAUGUCUAAUAUGAUUAGGGCACAACCUGUCGAAGGCGUGGAAACUAAGCCUGGCUUUUCUGAUGUUCUUUGUUACAAUAUUAGUUCACAACCUGAAUUUUGUGAGGUUACAAUUCAUUUCAAAUGUGUAGAUGUGACAUUCAGCCCCUCCAAUCUUUAUAGGAAUAUUUCAGAUGAGGUCAUGUGUUUUGCUUUUAGAAGUGGCGAUCUCAAUAUAGUUUAUGGUAGAAUAAUACAAAUCAACUUCUUAAUAGGCUAUAACAUCGAGCAGGGAAUGGUGUUGUUUAACUACAGUGAUGCAAAUUAUACCUAAUUUUAUUUGAACUACUAAUAUUGUACUUGCACUUGAACUCCAUUGAAUGAAAAUGCAACUUUUAAUUUAUCAUAAAACAUAUUUCGUUCAUAAUUUUAUUUUUCGUUUGUAACUAUGAAAAAUAUUUUAUUCACAAAUGAAACAUAUCUCCUUUAACUAACUUAUGAUUUCAUAAAUGAAAUAUUAAUGUUGUAGAACUUUAGAUUUAUCAUUUAUAAAAUCAUGAUUUUAAUAAUUUUAUUUAUUAAAAAUUUAGAAUCAUGGUAUUAAUAAAACAAUCAAUUUUUUUAAACUGACUUAAAUUAAUUUUUUAAAACCUAAGCUAAUAAAAUAUACUAAAAAGUUUAAUUUCAAGUUAUUUAUAAAAUCAUAAUAUUUUAUAUUUACUUUUCAUUAAAAAUUUUAAUUUUAUAUAUUUUGGACCACUUGCUAUUGAGGGCCUACGAGCUGGGUGCUAGUCCACCGAUGAAGCGAGCCUUUACACUGUACCGUGUUUUACCCUAUUUCUAAUCGUUUCAUACUUUUAAGGUCUGCAUACCUAAAAUUCUAAGCCCGACCUAGCCGGCAUAUGUGUCUUGUUGUGCCACGUGCUCCACAGUGCUAUGCCUAUGUCGUUUCGUGCCCAUGUCGUGCUGUGCCCGUUUCUAGUUGAAGCAAUCAGUGUGGGCUGCAGUAUAUUGUGCUUGAACCUUGAUUGACCAAACAAUAGAAGAAUUUACCAGCAACCGAUGUUCCCAUUUAAGAAGCUAGUGAAGAAUUGUUAGGUCCAAGGCCAACGGUGCCGAUUUGAUUCAAAGCGGGCUUUCACCAUUGUUUUGUCUGUAACGAAAGAUUACUUUUGCCAUUUCUAUGGGUUGUCUGGAAAUAAGAGGUUUAGUAGCAAGAUUGCCACUUGAGAAGGAUCCAUGUGAACCUCUUCCAUAUUCGAAUGAGUAAAUCCAAUCUCUUUUAAAGCAAUUCAUUGCAAUUAUGGUAUUUUGGAAUGAGGAGCAAGAAAUAGAAUUGUAUGUAGAAGAUUUUUUAGGAUCAAAGAAUGGAACCUCUUGCUAGAAACAUUAUGAUUGUGGGCAAGACUCACACUGUGUCCAUAUGAAGUCACUUCCUGUGUCAAUAGAACCAUAUAUAUCAUCAGCAGGAGUGCCGAUUGAUAAAUGCAUCAAAUAAUUACCAUCAAUAAAAAUUAUAUCAGCUUGAGGAAUUGUUGAUGGAGAGAUUGGUGGCUUGAGAGUUUCAUUGGUGGUACUAAAGUGAGGCUUUAAGGAGUUUUCGGCCUCUAUCGGAUUGAUAAUAAAGAGAAAAAGAAAUCACAAUUGAAAACUUUUUCAAUGCCAUGAUAUCAAGAAUUUUUCAAAUAUUUGGAAUAUGAGCAAAUAUAGUUUAGUAUUUAUAGGCAUUUGUGGGUUGCAGCCCCAGCUUAACUCCAUUCACACCAUAAUUUCCAAAUAUUGUUUAGAUUUUGUAUGCUUGAUCUUUAUUUUGAUUUUUUUUUUCCUUUUUAAGGAAGAAGGGGAUAAAGUGUUUUUUAUUGGAAGGAUGAAAAUGAAAAGAGAAAGGAUAGCAACUCAUGGCAUGCCUUAUUGGCAAGAUUCUUCUUAAUAGAGAUGUGAACAUACAACACUUAAGACUUGUAUUGUGGCGAGUAUUGAAAACAAUUAAGACUUGCAAUCCAGAGCCUAAAACCAUACUGUAUCAUAUUAUGAUUUGCCAGUAAUUUUGGGUAUGCAAUAAACUAAAGCUUGUGACCUAACGUAUAGGUGAAUAAUUAAUAACUAGCCCUAGACUUUCCAAAUAAAAGGACGGAACAAAUGAGAUUCAUUUUAUAAAAAAGACUGACAAAGACAUUUUAACACAAACAAGCAUUUGAAAUUGAUAGGGAAAACAAAAAUUAAUAUUGUAACAUCCGCUUCAAAAAUUGGGGCGAUAGCGGCGAGGAAAAAUGACAAAUCAAUGAUGUUUACUGUUUAGGGCUUUUAAAGAAAGAACGAGAUGUAGAUAUAGUAGCGGGCCAAUAGUUGAGCUUUUUAAUUUUAAUGUUAAUUGAUUACUUGGAAACUAAAUUGUUGAGUAGCAAUAACUUUUUCGGUUUCUCUUGGGCCCGACCCAAGCCCAUUAGAGUAAAAGUGCAAGUGUUAGGCUUGGAUUUUUACUUAUUUUUUCAAAAAAUUUUAAAAUUGUUAUAAACUUGAAAUAAGUUAAUAAUAAUCAAGUUGUUAUAAUCAACAAUGAAUUAAAGAAAAUAAAUAUUUUGAAAAUAAAGUAAUAAUAAAGAAAAUAAAGCAAAUAAAAGUUUAGAUAUUUAAUUUUUUUUUAUACUGGAUUAUCUAAUUCACAGACUCUCUUAAUUAAUUAAUCUUUAAAAGAGAAUUUAGUAUUAUAAUUUUAAGUAUUUUAAUUUAUUAUUGACAUAUAAAUUAGGGAUUCAAACCUUUUUUCCAUUAUUUUUCAAAUUUGAAUUUAUAAAUUUUUUAAAUAGAUGGAGAGAAAUUCAUUAACAGAUUUUAUGAGAUUCAAAAAGAGGAAGCAAUGGUGGAGGCAGCGGCCAGCUGUCGUCACUUAUCGAAAGAAGUUCCCUUGGUCUCUUUCUUCCUCCUUUGCUUCAGGUAUUCUUUUUCUUUUUUCUUUUGUUUUUUUUGUUUUUAGUGCUUCACCUGUUUUCUUGUUCAUUUCCAAUUCUACAAUUUUUAUUUCUCCUUUUUUUUUUUUUUGUAAGAUUAAUUUUGGAGUUUUCAGGUUGAUUUGGCUUCAACAAUUCAUAUCGCGGACAAAGUGUGUAAGUUGGUAAUUUUGCCGCCAAAAAUAAGUGUAAAUUAAGAGAUUUUGAGGAGUAACUAGGGGGUGAGUGGCCGUGUGUAAACCAGCUGGCUUAUUAAAUAACUCAGAAGUAGGACAAGGUUAGUUGUGUUGCACAGAAGGUGUGUUCUUUGUGACAGAUAUACAAUUAACAAAGCCGAGAUGCUCCCCUUUUGUAUUUUCUUCAAGAUUUUGUACGGUCAGUUUAAAUCAAAACUGAAACAAGUGUGUUUAAGUUUGAAGUAAACAAAACAAAAGGACGGAAACGUCCCUCAUUCCACAAGAAAUACAAGGGCUAGGACCCUAUUAUAUAAUGGACUUGGGUAAUUUUUAAAAACCUCCCCUGAGAUUUGGGCUUGUUACAAGUAGAUGGCGAGAAUCUGUUUAUUUGUAAAAAACCUCCUACCGUCAGUUAAUUUUAACAUUGACCGUUAGUUGACUGUGCAAAGACAAUAUUGCCCUUAACCAUAGUUUGUAGACUAACAUAACUAAAAAAAAAACUAAAAUUGUUAGCGCGAAAAGCACAAACCCUAUUUUUUGACAAUUUUAUCUUUGUUAAUUCCAAAGAUUUACAAUAUCAUAGGUAACGAUUAUGACUAUUUCAUUUUUAAGUUUUUAAUUUUAUCUUUCUUGUAGGAACUUUAAGGAAAUAUCAAUAAUUUAAAGAGGAUUUUUCAAGUUUUUAAUUUUAUUUUUUUGUAGGAACUUUAAGAAAAUAUCAAUAAUUUAAAGAUGGUAAAAUAGCCAAUAAUAUUGGUUUUUUUUUAUAGCUAUUUCCGUCUACAAACUAUUGUUAAGGGUAAUAUUGUCUUUGCACAGUCAACUAACGAUCAAUGUUAAAAUUAAAUGACGGUAGAGGGUUUUUUACAAAUAAACCAAUUCUCACCAUCUACUUACAACAAGCCCAAAUCUCAGGGGAGGUUUUUAAAAAUUACCCUAAUGGACUUAUCACUUCGUUCCAUUAAGAAAGUGAAUAAAAUUCCUCUUUUAUCUUAAUCUCUUGAAUUUCUGAACACUAAUUAUAUCAUUAUCGAAUCCUUGAAAAAACUUGCGAGUAUUUAUAAUCAGCUUAUCUCUGAAUUAAAUCUAAAUACAUAUAUGUGAGCUCUAGUUAAAUCUUGAAACAUGUAAGUAAGCCACAUCUAAAAAAAGAGGGUUCCAACAUUUAGUGCACGGCUGGGUUCUCAUUCUCAAUGCCAAUGAAUCUCAGGGAAAGGUUAAAUUCCCACAACAAAGGUGGCAUUAAGGUAGGCGUAGGUCCUUUAUUGGCUGGACUCUAUAAAUGUGUAGAGAUGGGUAACCUUUCCACUUAUAUCGUAUGAAUAAUGAAUUGCCAGGUUGGUUUUUUAUCAAUUAACAUUCUCGUCAUGUGCCAAGAUAAUCACUAGCUUAUGACAUACAGCUAAUUUAGAUGGUUCAAAGUAGAAUAAUGGGAAUAAGGUUUAUAAAGUAAACUUUUACUUUUAAAAUUUGUGUGAUGGGUGAGAAAUUAAGUAUAGAGAAAAAAAAUUAUGUAUUUAAAUAAUCCUAUCUUUUGAUAAAAUUUGCGUGAAAUCAAUCUUGCUGUAGUAGCAGGUUAGUCCAGUGGUGCUAGAAGAACAAAAUACCAUUUGAUUUUUAAUAUUAAAUUUAGAAAUAUUGAUAUUUAAUCUCCUUAACUUAUCUCUUUAAUCCAUUUUUUAAAAUUAUUUUAACUUGAAAUAUCUAAAAUACACAUUAAAAUAAUUUAAAUUUCUAAAUUUUACCAUUUCAGCCUCCAAAGUUUCUAAUAUAUAUAUAUAUAUAUAUAUAGCUUUCUCAAAGGUUUGCCACCUAGUGUCUAUAAUGGCAAUAAAGCAUGUGAUAUCUUUUCCAACUAGGAACAAUGGUUGUAUCCCUAUCUGGAUGGCUCCAAGGUGCAAUCCCUUGUGGUGGCAAACCUUUGAGAAAGUCUUGAUUAUUGUCGUCGAAGCAGGACUCAACCAAGGUCAUGUUGUUCUCCAAGUUGAACCAAAUUUCACCCUUGACAUACACAAGCCAUCCCUCACAGAUGCCAUUAAGGUAUUAAUUCAGGUUAAUGGUUUAACCAUGAAACCUGACGAAUCUGCCUUGGCAAUCCACCACACCAUGACCUAUAAAGUCCAAACCCAUCUGUUCUUUAUGAGCAGUUUUGGCAAACCUAUUACCAGGUUUCUUGCUGGUGAUGGCAGAGUCUUCCAACCUAGGACUUAUAGGCAAAAUUAACUCAUUUUUCCACCACAAUGGAUCAAUGAGUAUGAGAAAAACAACAGGCCUCAACAGAUCCAUGAGGUCCCAAAAAUAAGCCGAUUCCAAGAAGGAAGGGUAUCUGUCUCUUUUCCCACUGAGACUAAAGCCCUCUAUCCAUGUGAGAAGUGCCAGCUUGAAGGAAAGCAUCCCUCCUUGUGCACACAUAUGCCAAGGAGAACCACUUCCUACAGAAUCAUGAGUCUAGUCAACAUGAUCACCACUCCAGACCUUGAUAAUGAAUUCAUCUAUAUAUAUAUCUAUAUAUAUAUAUGUUUUGCGGUUUAUAUUAAUCUCAUUUAUUUAAUUUGGUGAGUCAAUACUUUUAAAUAUCGUACGGACAAGGGUUGGGCAUUUGAUUUGGUUUAACAGGCAAAAACCGAACGGUUUCAAUUUCCUUGCACCCAACGGUUUAUGUUCGGUUCUUUUCUAAAACCGAACCGAACGCAUGAACCGUUCGGUUCAGGAACCUUUAAUUUAAAAAAAAAAGGCUAAAUGCACGCAGACCGGCGGAUGCAGCAGCCGCCAGCCCCUCGCUCUCUCACUCUCUCCGUGGCGUCUCCGGUCGGCAUCUCACUCUCAUGCUCUCCGUCAGCCCGUCACUCACGCAAUCGUGAUUCAGUUUCUGAUUAGCUCGCGGCAGGUGGCAGACGGCAGAUCGUGGUCGUGAUUCAGCCAUCUCGUUGCCAGCUGGCAGCUGUUACCUUCGCAACCUCAUUCAGCCAUUGACAUCGUGCCGGCCGCCGGAGACGGUGAGUUGUUGACUUCGUUCUUUAUUUUUAUUUAUUUUUCGUUAAUUUUUGUCCUUAAUUCAAUUAAUCAAAUUAAUUACUCGGUUGAGUUGUGGUUCGUAGUCUAAUUUAAUACUCGGCAUCAGAUAUUUUAAUUUUUUUUUCCUUCCAUUCGGCAUUCAUACAGUUUUUUAUAAUUUGAUUUCGGUCAUGAUGCUGUUGCUAAUGAAAUUGGAUGUGGAUAAUUGGUGCACUGAAAUGAAUAUGAGAUUGUAACGAGGAAUAUACUGGAAUGUAUAUUAUGAGAUUGUAAUGAGGUUGAUGCAUUUUUUCACUCUAUUAAUAUAAAGAAUAAUAUAGAAGUUUGAUUUUAGACUAAAUUAAUUAUCAAUGAAAUGAAAUGAAAUUAACAAAACUUAUGGUGGUAAAAUGAAUUUUGGGUUUGUCAAAUGUCGGAAUCUUGUUCGCAAAUAAAUAUGAGAUUGUAACGAGAAAUGUACUGGAAUAGAUGAUCAUAAUUGAUUUGAUUUUUGUCAUAAUGUUUGUCAAACCGAACCAAAAUCUAGAAUGAUUUUUGUAAUUUUCUUAAUUUUAGACAUUAUUUGGGCUUGAAUUAAAAUUAUUGAAAAAGAAAACUCACGUGGCUGUGUUUGUGCAUCUGUUACUACAAUAAUGUAUUUUUUCUAAAUAUUUUAAUUUCUUUUCUAGAAUUUAUUUGCGCUUUUCAAUCUUAUCAAGUUUAGAGUUAAUAACUGAAAGUCAGCUGAUAUAAAUUUAUUGUUUAUAAAAAAUAUGAAAGUUUGAUGUUAAGAGACAAUACAAUGAAGAAAAUUAUUUCAGUAGUAAAUAAUUAAUUCUUUUAGAAGAAAAAUAAAAACAAAUUUAUAAGAUGUUUAUAAAAAAUAUGGAUUUUAAUCUUGUUAAGUUAUUGUAACUAUAUCUUGCCGAUUGAUUUAUCAUAAUGAACCUAAACGUGUACUUUCUUAUUUAUACUCUUCUUAUAUUUUUGUUGUGCUGGUUUCAAAUUUGCAGCAACUAAGAUACCAAAACUUUGAACAGUCUUUAGUGAAGCAUCAAUUUGGAAUACAUUGACAGCGUGAUCAUAAAAUGUCUUCUCUUAGGAAUGCAAUUCCUAGAAGGGCUCAUAAGGAGAGAGCUCAACCGUAAGUGACUACUUUUUCUUUUUAAAGUUCUUUCCUUUUGGGAAGUUAUUUGGAAACCCUUUUGAGAUGAAAUAUCUUUGAUCCAUGAUAGGCAAUCGAGGAAGAAGUUUGGGCUUCUUGAAAAGCACAAGGACUAUGUUGUUCGUGCAAAAGCAUAUCACAAGAAGGAGGAGACUAUACGGGUGACAUUUCUACUGCCACAAUUAUGUUUUAAUUCCUGCAUUGUCAUUCGUCUUCACUUCUAUUUAAUUGUUAGAUAUUGUCCAUGCUUGUGCAUGGCUGUGCUUUGUUCUGUGUGGUUACAGAGACUCAAAGAGAAGGCAGCAUUUAGGAACCCGGAUGAAUUUUACCUCAAAAUGAUCAAAACGAAAAUUGUUGAUGGAGUGCACAGACUAGAGUAAGUUUACCAUCGCAUUGCUUUUCUUCGUAAUAAUUUCUUCUUGUUUGCAAAUUGUGAUUGACUGCUUGGUCUUAUUCUUUUAGGAGUGAGGCAAACAAGUACACUCAAGAAGAACUUAUUUUGAUGAAGACCCAGGAUAUAGGAUAUAUUCUUCAGAAACUGCAAAGUGAAAGAAAUGUAAGAAAUUGCUUCUAUAUUGUGUUUAUGGUGCAUAUAAGGAUUGCCUUUUCAAUUACAUUCGACAUAGUUCUUUAAAAAACUAUUUUUUGGUGCAGAAAAUUGAAAAGUUAACUACCAUGUUGCACUCUCUUGAUAGUAAUCUAUCUAGCAGACAUGUUUACUAUGCUGAAGACAGGUUUAUGUUAUCAAAGCUUCCAUUUUUUUCUGAAGGCAAUAAUAUUCUGGACUUGUUGGCAAUCUUAUAUAUGGAGAAUAUGUAGAUUCUUAAUAAAGAUAAGAGUGCUUGAAUGAUUGUUACUUUUAUAACUUCUGAAUUUUUAUGUGGUUAUCUCCUCCGUUUUUAAUUUGAAUACUGAGUUAGAAUACCUCAGUCGUGUAAUGUGAUGCUAACUAUAACAUUAUUAGUACACUAAUUGUUUUUUUCAAUGCCAUUAAUAUAUUAGCUCUUAGUUUAAUAAAAUUUCAAGUAGCAUUAUUAGCAUUGUACUGUUGGGCUCUUUUGUGUCAGAAAGUAUUAUUACGAUGCGAGUGCUGAAAAUCUGGAGUAUUUUCCAAUGUUUUGAGUUGUCUGGUGCAAUUAGUUCUCCUCCCUUCAUAUUUAUCUUUGCUUUUUUCUUUUUCCCAUUUUAGCUUGAAUUUGCUACAACAUGUUAAGCAAUCUGCAGAUCCUUGCAAUAUUUGAUUUGAAGUUACGGUGCAUAUUUGGAUUACUUUUGUUCUGUACUUAUUGUAUUUCGUGCAGGGAAGAGACAAAAGAAAUAAAAUAUAUAUCUGGACGAAAAGCUACAUUGCCUGUUUUUGACGACAUUCCUGAUCACAUUAAGAGGUAGUUGUUGAAUGUUUAAUGCAUUGUGUUGGACAAAAUUACUCUCCACAACCUGAGCUUAUUCUUGUCUGAUGUUGUUCAACCUGAGCUGUUUUCCAACUCUUCACAGAGACACAGACUGUGUUGCAUAUUUUCCGUUUGCAGGAAGACUGCUGCUUCCUACAGAGAACUAGAAGGGAGGAAAAAGAGAGUACAGGAGUUGGAAAAGCUGUUUAUGGAUAUGUCAUUGCAGAAGGAAUUACAGGUAUAAAACGAUCUCUUACUCCCUUUCUCUAUCUGUCUAUUGUGUUGGACUUGGACGUUGAGGCUACUGAAAAUAUUUCUCCAUUUUUUAAUGAUUAGAAAAAGGGCCGGAAACGCAAACUACAUGAAGAAGAGAUUGUCUGUCCAUCCUCCAAGCCUGCAUAUAAGUGGCGGUCUGAGCGAAAGCGGUAAAGAGGGUACAUUUUUUAGGGAAUUUUGUCAAAUUAGGCCCAGUCCACUUGUUUUGUUACUAAGGAAUUUUGUCUGGUAGACUGAUAAUUCAUGAGCUGGGGCUGAAUUAGGCAGGACCGAGCAGUUUGCAUGAAGGAGCUGAUGAAUGAUGAUGAUGGGUGUGGAAACUGGAACGGAGUGUUGAAUAAUUUCAAAAUGUAAUCCUAAUAAUUUCUAAGUGUAGACUGACAUCCAAUUGAAUUUUUUGAGUGAUGUUUUGGCUGUAGUUUUUGUCGUAUGGUUUAACUUCAAUCAAUUUUAUCUUUAAAUUAAUGCAGGAUCUUUUCAUUAGGCUGUAUUUUAAUUGAAUUUGGGGGUGAACUUAGGGGUAAUGUGUAAUUAGGGUCUGUGUGCCUCUGGUUUGAUUUGAAAAAGCCAUAUCCUUCAUGAAUGUAACUUGGAAAACCCUUAUAAAUAUAACUAAAAUCAGUAAUUAAGGUGAGUAAAUGGAACAAAACACAGCCAUGCGCCAGCUGUCUAUUGCGAAUGGUCACACCUCCUGAAUUUUAGAAUAAAAAAUAAAAAAUAUAUUAAAAGACAGUUUAGAAAUUAAAAGAAAAAGAUAAAAUAUGGGUGUUAAAUAGAAUAUUUUUUGUCACAACUUGGCAAAACAAUUAAAAUUGUUUAGUCAUUAUCGAUAAUCAAUAGAGUGCUCGCUCAUAAAUUGGUUUAGUAAUAUCCACACACAAUAAAAUCAAUAUCAUAUAACACACACAAGAUAUCAUAUAAUCACAAUUAUUAAUUUCUUAUUUUAUUAAUAUAUAACAUCAAUUUCUCUACAAUUGAUGGUUGUUACAAAAGUAUUCAUCGUUAUAGGGGAUUAAAUAUGGAACAUACUUAGCCUUCUUGAUCAAACAUUCUUCAGUUGUGAAUCCUGAGCAAAAACUAUCAGGUGAUAUUGUAGAAUUUGUAGAAGAUAAAACAUAUGACUUAAAUUCUUGAUCAGUCUUAGUACUUAAAACAAAUAUGCUUUCAGUGCUUGUCACUACAAACAAUGCCAAGAUGAUGAAUUUGAGAUUCUUCGACAUUUUAUAAUUUUUAAAUUAAAUUGUAAACAAUUUUUUUUUCUAUGUAGGGGCAAACAGCUUAAUUAAAAUUAAAAGAGAGGUGUAAGAAUUAGAAACAAUUGAGGCUAUAUAUAUAAAUAUGAAUGGGUCUUGUUAAGUUACAUUUUUAAGUAACUUACAGUCCAUGUAAAAAUUGGUGAGCAUGUUGUUAAUUUUGUAUUAUUUUACAUGGACUGUAAAUUACUUGAAAUGUAACUUAGCAAAACCUUAUAUGAAUAUUGAGAAACAAAUUACCAUAAUUUUCAUGGAAUUAUCAAUUCCACUAAUGAGUAUUGGAUAAAUCAAGUACAUUUGUUUAUAUUAACUAUUGACAAUAAUAUGUUGUAGAAUUAUCAUGUAUAAUAGUUGAAACGUACAUCUAAUUAAUUUUAACAUUUUUUACUACUAUUUUUUGUUUAAUUUAUGUCUUGUAUUUUUUUUAUAUUUAUUUAACGUAUGCCAAUUAUUAUUAUAAAUAUUGUUAUUUUGUGGAAUAUUAUUCAGAUUUAAAUGAAUUGACUCUGAGCACAGCGUGCAAGUCAAAAAUAUGACAUCACAAGAAGUGAUAGCAAAAAAACAAAAAUAGUAAUAGUGGUAAUCUAACAGAAUCAACAGAAAACCGUAAAUUGAAAAAAAAAAAAAAAAAAAAAAAAAAAGGGGGAAAGAGAGAGAGAGAAACACAAGCACAAGCACAAGCACAAGCACAAACACAAACUUCUGGCGCAGCAAAUGGCAUCGUUUGUGUCAAGCACUGUCUUGCUACUAACAUACGCUCCUCCUCAAACCCCACAACCACAGCUUCUUCUUCUUCUUCUUCUUCUCUCUUAACAACAAUCAACAAGCCGUUCGUUUGCCCAUUCUCUUCUUCAAACACUCAUGGCCGCAACAUAAUCCUCUUCUUCUCUCCGUUAUUUUUUUUUUUGAAAAAAAUAAUUUUCUUUAAAAACAAAAAGAAGAAGACAGAGGAAGAAAGGAGGCAAAGUAAUGGUGUCAAUACUUGCAUUUGCAUCAAAUUCAAGCACCGAUUCAUGCUGCACCACAUCGUCUCGUCUCAGUUGCUUUGCGCCUUUAUUAAAACCAAAUCCUAUUAAAUUUCUAAAGCAAAAACCUCGCAAAUGUCACUCCUUUAAUAAAAUACUCGCCGCUGCUGCUGCCUCGUCAUCCUCAUCGGCGCGGCAGCAGAUCGAAGAUGGCUCUGCGGAGCAGUUCUUGGAGAACAAUUCGAUAGCAGAUUUUAUGAGAUUCAAAAGAGGAAGCAAUGGUGGAGGCAGCGGCCAGCUUCAGACUGCUGUCGUCACUUAUCGAAAGAAGUUUCCUUGGUCCCUUCUUCCUCCUUUUCUUCAGGUAUUCUUAUUCUUUUUUUAUUUUUUAUUUCUUUUUUUGUUUUAGUGCUUCACCUGUUUUCUUGUUCAUUCCCAAUUCUACAAUUUUUCUUUUCUUAAAAAAAAAAAAUUUUAAUUUUGGAGUUUUCAGGUUGACUUGGUUUCAACAAUUCAUAUCGCGGAUAAAGAGUACGUUUACUUGUAGUAUAACUUUCUUAAAUCUUUCCUUUUUGAUUGCACUGUCAAUAUUUAUUAUUAUAGCUAUUAAUUAUUGGAAGCUAAAAUGUGUGCAAGUUGGCAAUUUUGCCGCCAAAAAUCAGUGUAAGUUAAGAGGUUUAGAUGAGUAACUAGGGAGUGAGUGCCCGUGUGUAACCCUUGUAAAUUGAUUGGUGCUACUCACAUAAGGGCAAAUUGUAAUUUGUAACCCCAAUUGCAGCCUGUUAUGGGGACAAAUCGAGGAAACAGGCAUGAAGCAUUGGAUUAUGUUUUUUAACUCUUAAUUUUACAUAUAAUUUUGACUAAUCAACCAUGCAUCAAAUUAUGAGUACCUUAAAGAAUAAAUAUGCAUAGAAGUAGCAUUUUGCUUUUGCCUUGUCGGUGGAAAGAAUAGGUUGAGCCCCUUGUGAGAUUUUACUUGCUGAUGACUACUGAUCCCCAGGCUCGUGUGAAUUUUUGUUUUGUUGGCUCAGUUGGUUAUUGUAUUUAUUUUUCCAAUCAAACCACUUUGAAAGAUAAAUAUUGCUGUGAAGGUACUUUGAAACCCUCCAGAGGGAACUUGAACUCUAUGAUUGUGUCCUUUAUGAGAUGGUAGCUAGCCGGGAGAGUUUAGAGAAAAGAAGAAAUUCUGUGGAUACGAAGAAGCUCAAAGGUUCACGCUCACGAGGUUUCAACAUUCUAGGAUGCAUCCAGCGGCAGAUGGCUCGAAUUCUUAUGCUUGAUUUCCAAUUAGACUGUCUUGAUUACCAGGCUGAGAAUUGGUACCAUGCAGAUCUUGAUUAUGAGACCUUCAAGUUACUUCAGGUUACUUGUCUUUUUCUUUUAUGAUUUGCCUUUCUCUCACUCUUAGUACCACUUUAUUGGUUUCACUUCUUAAAUUGAUGUAAUGAAUGAGAGCAUGAUCAUGAAGGCUAAAAAUAAUACAUGUUUUUAAUGUACUUCAUUCCUAUGUUCUCAUAUUAUAUUCUAUAUAUUAGCCAGAUGAUUCAAGAUGUUUCAAAUACAAGAUACAACAAAUAAUGAAAAACUGUGAGAGGGAGCCCAGGUUUUAGGCUUUCUUUAAGUGUAUUGUCCCUGCACUUCCAGGUGUUGAUGAAACCUAUAUUUUUAAUUAUUAUUUUAGUUUAGACCAUAAAUGGCCAUGUAUGUUUCUUGGGGUUUGAUGCAUUCCUGUACUUUUUUCUCUUGCAAACUUGGUGCAUUUUGCUCUGUUUGUGAAUGACAGCUGACUCCUACAUCUAAUACCAUUUUAUCUUUGCUUUCAGCUUGAGAAAGGUGAAAGCUUAUUUACAUUUGCAAGGGAUAUGACUCUCAAAUCAACUAAAGCUAUGGUGCAACCUUCAAUUCCAAAAGACCUUGAUCCUUGGAGAUCCAAGCUUUUAUGGGCUUCACGUGUACUUCCAAUGCCCCUUGUAGGCCUUCUCAUAAUUGGAAGUGUCUGUGCUGAUGUAGGAAGUCAGCCACCAGAAUAUCCAGAACUAGAAGCAUUAUCUAUGCUUGAUUUUGGUGCUGCAAUGAAGGUCUUCCUGGCAAAGCGACUAACAUCUGAGUGAGUAUUAAUCAGUUAUUUUGGUUUAUAUGUAGUUGUUUACCUGCUUUGUGGUGUGAUAACUAAUGUCUCAUGUUAUAUGACUUACCAGUCUCUUGUAUGUUGGUGUUAAAAUUCUCUUAUUACCUUGGUUAUUCUGGUUUGGUAACAGUGGCUCUUUUAGUUAAUAAUGAAAUCAUGAGAGUUACUUGUCUUUGCCACAGAUGAAAAAUGAUUUUAAGCAUGCAAAGUUUGCCAUCAUUUAUUUCUAAGAGAAAAUCUCUGAUAAGAGUACUAGCCAAACACUUUUUAUUUUGAUCCGUUGGUGGUCUGCCGCUAGUCCUAAAUCUGUAACCUUAAAAGUUUUUUAAGCUACUUGUCUUGCGGUUAUGUUUUUGAUUGAGGCAUAAUGGCUUCUACUUCACAGUCAUUGUGAGAUGGAAUUGCUAGCUGUAAUGUACAAGUGUGCGGGUGGAUGGUAAAUAUUAGCUACCUAGUAAAAGUAGAUGUUUUUACCAAGUAUCUUAGUUAUGUUACUUUCAAAGUUAAGUUGAAGCACAACAGUUCUGCAGAAACCUAUAAGGUAUAGUGUUUGAUCAUCGUAGGAAAAUGUUGGGCAUGGGGCUGGGGAUAAAAAUGAUGCACAGAUGUGCUGUGCUAUGUGUGUUUUAUUUGGUGAAAAGUCUUGCCAAUUAGUGGAUUGAUCAUACCAUCUAUUGUAUAGGUUCACUCAAGUGACUGCAGAUGUGGAGGAGAGCUCUGUCAUCAUUGGCGAGAGGAACAGAGCUGCAAUUGAAGCUCUUAGAAGAGCAAUUGAUGAGGGCCACAACAGGAUUGCCAUCCUGUAUGGUGGUGGCCACAUGCCAGACUUGGGAAGGCGAUUAAGGGAGGAGUUCGACCUUCUUCCAUCUCGGGUUCAGUGGAUAACAGCAUGGUCCAUAAGAAACCGUGACUUGAGUAGCAGUUCCUUUCCAUUUCUGAAGACAAUGGCUGAAGUUUUAGGUUGGCCAUUGAACCGAUACCAGACUUUAGCAUUGCUUAUUUUUUCUUCAGUCCUUGCACUGGAUCUCUGGUUUUGGGAACUCUUUUUCGGCACAACAGUGAAUUGGAUCUCCCAAAUUGCAUCCGAAGUUCACCAGUAUGUUGAACCGAUGUGAAAAUCUCAAUCUGUUUUUCAGUCAUUAAAAUUCACGAGGCCAAGGUAAUCUGCAAAUGCCUUUGUAAAUUUAUCCACCCAUGUCAUAUCAAAGGUGUAGUGAUUUGUUUGUCAAGCUACAAUCUUAAAACUGUAAAAUAUAAUUGAAAUCAAUUGAGAUCAAAGUUGCCGUGUUAUUCUUCCUUCCUUCCGUCCAUUUUCGUAUAAUUUUGUUGCGUAGCUGCAUCCAGAUUAUAGAUGUAACGAUUGUUGAAUGUAAAUUUGAAUCCAAAAUCUCUACCAACAAAGGUGGAGUGUUUGACGCAUUUCUAAGAAGAUUCACUCUUAAAAGUCUUAAAAAGAAAAUUAUAAAGCUUAAACACAUGACAAUUGACAUCACAAACAGAGACCUCUUCAUUAUUUGGUCAUUCAACAUUCUAGAACAUUUGUGCAACAGGAGUUAUAAAAACUAGAAACACAAAAGCAGAACCUUAGCCUAGGCUAUAAGUUAACCGUCUAACUAUUCAAACAAACAUCCAAAACUAGAAUCCAAACUCAACAGCAUAAUUCCUAACAUAACAAACUAUGAUGACGCUGAAGCCGCUGCAGCUCCAUUAAUCCUCGGAGCCAACAAUAUCACAAUGUGUCAAAUGGAAAGCUGGCAUUCUUACCAAACAAUGAAAUUCCAAAUAUACCUUCUCUGAAGUUAGUCUUGAAUCCAAAGGCACCGUACGUAGAUACCUCAUUCCCUGUCCCAGUAGUCUUUCUCCGAAUUGCCUUCAUGCUCUCCAGUUAUCUAAUUAUCCAAGAAAAUUAAAAAUACAAACUGUAACAGAUCAACAAUAGAAGCAUUAUACACAUUUAUACGACUAGAGGGAAAGCCACAUGAGCUGCAGCGACUAUGCUGGAGAUGGAAGCUGCGACGGCCACACCGCACCCAUAGCGUGUGAGUCUUGUUCCUUCUCUUCCCGAAGCUCCGUGUUCCUUUGCCCUGCCUCCAUUACAAAGAUACAACACCAUCAUCAUCAUCAUCAUUACUAUCAACUCUAAUGAGGGUGACAAUAUUUUUCUGUUUUGAGAUUGAUACAAGGGAAAGAAAUUACCAUUUUUCUUUCUGUUCUGGGUGUUUCUGAAGAUACCCAAUUGCUCUGCUUUUAUCUAAAACUCGACGAGAAUCCAGGAGGUGUCACCCCUUAGCAGUGACUUGUGCGUACACUGUUUGUUGGUCGCCGCUUUCAACAAUGCUUGUGGACACAAAAUGGGCGCCUGUGAGUUAUUUCUACGAGAAAGAGGAGAUUCAAGAACUAUGUGAGAUUCAUAAACAUUCAUGAAACUCUAGAAAAGGUACCAACUUACUGUCUUAUCAUUUUUUCCUUUUCCUCGUGUUUUAUACGUUAAUGGUUAAAAAUAUAUCAACUUUGAUUGGAGACAUUCUGACUCAAGCUUUACAAGUAAUGGAAAGUGGAAAUCUUUAGACCAAAUUUUUUGCCAUGAUAAGCUUAUUUCAUGCCAUAGGAACUUUGUGAUCCUGUUGUGCAUCACUAGCUCAUUAUGUCAAAAUCUGCAACUUUACUUAGAUUCGGCUGGCUGAAUGGUAAAUAUUGAAUUCUAGUCAAGACUUCUAGCUAAUGCUAAGCUGCGAGUAAUUCUCAGACUUGCUUUUCUGAUUUAAACAUUCUUCUAAAUUGCUCAUGCAAUUUUGGGAUAGUGUGUGCAAAUAUUCUUAUGAAGAACGGGAUUCAUAUUCCUUCCUCCAUCCUUUUCCCCCAUGUGGACUUUUCAGCCGUCAUGAUUUGCGGAAUUUAAUUUUCAAUAGAAAUCCUCCAAAAGCAAAUGUUUGACGAAUUCAAAAUAUUGAUUUUCUUGUUUGUAUAGCGAUAAAUCUGAUUCAAUGCCAAAUUUCCGAAUAUCGGCAGCCGCAAGCCACGUUUACCAUGUUGAUUCAGGUGCCUUUCAUUAUCAAUUAAUUAAUCACACGAUAGAUCAUAGACCUGCCUUGUGAUGUGCACGUAUUACUAGUGAUUUCAUUUUGGUACACAUGGAUAUUAUAAAUGGAUUGGGAUGAGAAAGAUUUUAUUUUAUAUUAGGUUGGAUUAAAAUAGGUGGAAAUCUUGGAUUUUAAAUCAGUGCUUACGUAGCAGACUUGUGUUUACGGAUAUGGACAGCGAAAUAGAAAUGAAACGUGAGUUGUCUUAAGAAGCAGUUGUAAACAGCUGAUCAAAGCAAAACUGUUUUUAAGUUAUAAAAUUAACAAUAAUGGAGAGCGUAAUUGGAUAUGUUUACUCAUUUCUGGUUCUGGAUAGGGCUGGCUUCCUUUAAGUCGAGUCCACGUCUUGAAAUAUUUUAAAUGAAUAUUCUCUUCCGUAUUUGUGUUCACACUGCAAUUGUGGACAGUUUGUAUUCUCAAUAUAAAAAUUGAACGUGUUCUAUGCAAAAUUUAAGCAACAUCAUGAUUUAUGCUAGUGGCAGUGGAAUCAACCACACAGAUUUUCUUAUUAUAAUGUCAAUAUAAGUAUGCUUUCUGUGUUGUUGGGUAGGUCCAUAUCUUUUUUUUUUCUAAUAAUUUCUUAACAGAUUCACAAUAGGAAGUAGCGUGCCUGGUUUUCCUACUUUUGGAGAAAGUGGCUUUAUUAAAGGAAAAGCCUUCAGUUAUAUAUAUAUAGAUAUAUUCCACUUUCUGUAGUUCUGAGCUGGUCCUAUUAUAAUAGCAUUAAGUUUGUGUUGAGCACACGCCCUUCAGUUAUAUUCCUUAUUGUUUCAAUUCAGUGUGAUAGGUUUUCUGAUUUAAUCUUCCAGUCAUGCAGUUCAGCUCUUCCCAUAAACGGGACAAACAAGAUUGUUACUACCUUCUUCCAGAUUCAGAAUCUCCUGCUGCUAAAGAAGGUCAAAGGAGACAUGAGGAGCUAUGGCACAAGCAGGCAUCUGAAGUUGCAUCUCAAAAGCACACGGACCUGCCAGGCGUAUCUCUUCAAAGAAAGAAGCCUCGUUUCAAUAAAUAUGCGCUCACUGGUGCCAUCUUGGCCUCCACAAACUCUAUUCUAUUGGGCUACGGUGAGUUCUGUUCUGUUUCUGUAGCAUUAAUUUUAUAACAUUGAACAUUUCUGACAUUAAUUCUCCUCAGAUCUUUGUUAACAAAAACUGAAGCUCAUCACGCUGUAAAUUUAUUGUGCAGACAUUGGGGUAAUGAGUGGUGCGAUACUUUACAUCCGGGACAACCUUAAUAUAACAUCAAUCCAAGUUGAGGUCUUGGUUGGUUCUCUAAAUGUAUGUUCAUUAAUUGGAUCACUCGCUGCGGGUAAGACGUCUGAUUGUAUUGGCAGGCGGUACACAAUUGUCCUAGCAGCAGCCACAUUUCUAUUAGGUGCACUGCUAAUGGGGCUUGCACCAUCCUUUCUUUUCCUCAUGGCUGGAAGGGUAGUGUCAGGCAUUGGAGUUGGUUACUCUCUCAUGAUUGCCCCGGUCUAUACCACAGAGAUCUCUCCUGCGAUGACCCGAGGCUUCCUCUCCUCGCUCCCUGAAGUUUUCAUCAAUUUUGGAAUUUUACUGGGUUACAUAUCCAAUUAUGCUUUAUCAGGUCUUCCUGAACACAUAAACUGGAGGCUUAUGCUUGGACUAGCAGCAUUGCCAGCAAUAGCUGUUGCAUUCGGUGUCAUAGCAAUGCCUGAAUCCCCUCGUUGGCUGGUAAUGAAAGGCCGGUUUGCUGACGCAAAACAGGCUCUGAUCAAAACAUCAGACAGCGUCGAGGAAGCCGAAUUCAGACUUAAUGAAAUGACCAGAACUAUUGCAGAUUUAGGCCAUGCAGCUUCUUCAAACAAUUGGCAGGGUCAAGGUGUUUGGAAAGAGCUACUAUUAAGACCAUCUCGACCCCUUCGCCGAAUCCUCAUUGCAGCAAUUGGUGUUAACUUCUUCAUGCAAGCUUCAGGCAAUGAUGCUGUUGUUUAUUACAGCCCUGAAGUGUUCAAGGAUGCGGGAAUCAACAGCAAGAAACAACUUGUGGGGGUGACAGUGAUCAUGGGAAUUGCCAAAACGUCCUUUGUGUUGAUAUCAGCUCUUUACUUGGAUCACUUUGGGAGGAGGCCUUUGCUGAUGUUGGGCUCUACAGGAAUGGCUGUUUCACUAGCUGUGCUAGGCCUGGGCUCCAAGUAUCUGGAUCAGUCUGAUAUCAAGCCGGCAUGGGCCAUUGCCUUGUGUGUGAUAGCUGUAUGUGCUGCCGUCUCGUUCUUUUCAAUUGGGCUUGGGCCCAUUACAUGGGUCUACUCAUCAGAGAUAUUUCCAACAAAGUUUAGAGCUCAGGGUUCAAGCUUGGCAAUAUCAGUUAACAGGUUGGUGAGUGGGAUUGUCGCCAUGAGUUUUCUAAGCAUUUCUAGGGCAGUAACAUUUGGAGGAAUGUUCUUUAUACUAUCUGGAAUCACGGCAGUGGGCACGGUUUUCUUUUAUUUCUUUUUACCUGAAACGAAAGGCAAGAGUCUAGAAGAUAUUGGGCUUCUCUUCGAGGACAAAGCCCAUGAUAAUCAUACUCUUGAUAGACCCAUUACACUAAUUUAGAACAUCAUCAAUUCCUGUAAUAUAUAGGUUUCAGAUACAAUUGAGUACUGGUUUUCAUAACAUACAGUUUCAAUGACACUUUCUUUUUUCUUUCUGACUCACAAUAUUAAAAAUUUGAAUAAAAAUAUAUAAGUACUUAAGUGUGAUAUACAAUUUUUAAAAGAUCACCAUAGAUGUCUGGGUCCAAAUAUUUUUGCUCCCAUUUUAGGAUAUCAGUAAUUAUCCAUAAAACUAAUAUUCCUUUUAUAGGCAUAGCAUGUGUGUUUCCAUAUUUGGCUGAACUGAACCAUCUUGUUUUGGAUAAUAUUAAUGCAAACUUUAAUCUCAAGAUAAUAGUGAAGUGUAAAUACCCAUAAACUGAUCAAAAGAAACGCAUCCUGUUUGGGCCUUGGACAAUCGAGAGCAAAGACCACAGUUACUAUAAGAACCUCCUCUCUUGCAAUAACAUGAGAGUUUUUAAGUUUACGAGGAAACAGAAGAUUGGAUAAAAUUGUAAAGGCCACACAUCAUAACAGCGAAAGAGUAUCUUAUCUGCAAACUGAGAAACGUGUUGUGCUUUUCCUCGUAUAACGCCAGGCAGUUUGGUCAUCAUUUUGUGGUUGGGUCGGUUGGAUUUUUUUUUUUUUAAAAAAAAUUCAGACCCAAUAACAAGUAUCAAAACCGACUCCGUUAUUCACUCCUGAAAACCCAGAUCCAUUCGGCUAGAUAUCAGCUUCUCUGCCGAAUUGGUUGUAGUGGGAGAGCUGAAAAUGGAGACCGCUGAAGCAGGAGGACCCGAUGAUCAUCAAAAUGUAGAAGCGGGUACGGGUCGUCAAAAGAAAGGGCUCAACAAGUAUGCCUUCAUCUGUGCUCUUUUGGCCUCGAUUAACUCAAUUCUAUUGGGUUACGGUGAGUCUUCAUUCAAUUCCCUUUUUCCUAAUUGCUUUUAAUUUCUACUAAAAAAUGUUAAGAUAUAAAUAUUUGGCAUGCAAUUGUAAUCGGACGAUGGUGUGGUGACGACGUGACUGCCGGUGACGCUGUAGACAUUGGAGUGAUGAGUGGUGCAGUUCUUUACAUCAAAGAAGAUCUUGAGAUAACGGAAGUCCAAGUAGAGGUGCUGGUGGGGAUUUUGAAUGUGUUUUCACUAAUAGGGUCACUGGCCUCGGGGAAAACCUCAGAUUACAUAGGCAGGCGAUACACAAUUGUGGUAGCAGCCGCAACAUUUCUAGUAGGUGCCCUUGCAAUGGGACUGGCACCAAACUACCCAUUUCUCAUCGUAGGCCGCAUGAUUGCUGGUAUUGGCGUUGGCUACUCCCUCAUGAUCUCCCCAGUGUACACAGCCGAGAUCUCACCCACAAUGAAACGUGGCUUCCUUACCUCGCUCCCCGAAGUCUUCAUCGUUCUCGGUAUCCUGUCGGGUUAUGUUUUUAACUACGCAUUAUCUGGUCUCCCUGGAAACAUCAACUGGAGAAUUAUGUUAGGCCUGGCCGCUGUGCCCGCAGCUGUUAUUGGUGUGGGUGUUUUGAUCAUGCCUGAAUCCCCUCGUUGGCUUGUCAUGAAGAGUAGAUACGACGAGGCAAAGAG
rnacentral:lncRNA from 1 species